CUGCAGUGAAAAGGGUUGUGCCUCCCUAGGCCACUUCCGGCGCGAGGCCCAGAUACGUUUAAACCUUUCUGCCUCGGGGCGGGUUUUGAGAAGGAACCGUUUCCGGCGCAGGAGGAGCUUGGCUGACUGGAAAGCGCGGGGCAGGUGUUUGCCAUGGCGGCUGCCGUUAUCGUCGCGAGACACCUGAGAGCCUCUUUGUUAGAGACGCGAGUACUCUGCGGGGCUGCAGGAACGGCAGUUGGCUGGCGGCGCCAAGGUCUUUCGGGGCCAGGAGGCGGCGGAAGCGAGGUGCGGCGCGCGCGGACGUGCAUCCCUUCUUACCCUCCCCCUGCUUCCUUUUAGCAUGGCUUGAGUUUGUUCCGGGGCGGAGGGCGACAAACCCGGCCCUGCUAGUGGACGUGUGGCAGUGGAUGCUUUUUUGUGUGGGAAUCUCCCUUUCCCUCCUCCCAGUCCCUUCUUUGCCUCUCUUUUUCCUCUCACAUUUACUUCUGAGAGGAACUGCCUGGCCACGUGUGUGCGCGUUUACUCGGAAGCCGGUCCCGCAGAGUUAUAUGGAGUACAGUGGUACCUCAGGUUAAGUACUUAAUUCGUUCUUAACCUGAAACUGUUCUUAACCUGAAGCACCACUUUAGCUAAUGGGGCCUCCUGCUGCCGCUGUGCUACCGGAGCACGAUUUCUGUUCUCAUCCUGAAGCAAAGUUCUUAACCUGAAGCACUAUUUCUGGGUUAGCGGAGUGUGUAACCUGAAGCAUAUGUAACCUGAAGCGUAUGUACUCUGAGGUACCACUGUAAUUAAUUACCCCCAGGUAAAAUGCACAGGAGUUGUAGCCUUAGGUUUCCACAUUUGCAUGUAGGUAAGCUCGUCAAAAAGGGACGCGGGUGGCGCUGUGGGUUAAACCACAGAGCCUAGGACUUGCCGAUCAGAAGGUCGGCAGUUCGAAUUCCCGCGACGGAGUGAGCUCCCGUUGCUCGGUCCCUGCUCCUGCCAACCUAGCAGUUUGAAAGCACGUCAAAGUGCAAGUAGAUAAAUAGGCGGGAAGGUAAACAGCGUUUCCGUGCGCUGCUUUGGUUCGCCAGAAGCAGCUUAGUCAUGCUGGCCACAUGACCCGGAAGCUGUACGCCGGCUCCCUCGGCCAAUAAGGCGAGAUGAGCGCCACAACCCCAGAGUCGGUCACGACUGGACCUAAUAGUCAGGGGUACAUUUACCAUUUAAGCUCGUCGAACGUAGCGGGACUGGUUUCCAAGACGGGAAGAUCCGAGUCUGUGCAUGUUUACUUGGGAGUAAGCCCCGGUUAUUGCCCAAUGUGGCUUACUCCCAGGUCAGAAUGUACAUGGCUGCAGUCUUGGUAGGUAGUGUAAAGUAGGGAUGAGCAGAUUUCAAGCUCGUAGAAUCUACUGAAUAGAUUUCUACUAGAAUGCUGCGAUCCACCAACUGGAGCGGUGGAUCUGUGAGACAUAUACUAAUUUGGGCGUUUAGAUUACUCACAUGUAAAUUCUGUUUUGUUGUUCAGGGAACCUUCAUGAAAAAAGAGUGCUCCGAGCUUCAGACCUCUGUCAAAUAUGUGGAGGGCUGUAAACAAGAUCAAAGUGGUCAGGGCUUGGCAGUGCCCCCCCCCCCGCCAUCAGCCUGAUUGUUUACACACGCAUAAUUUGACUGCUUAAAUAGGUCUUGUGAAUUAAAUAAUUCUGAGCCCAGGAAUUUGUUUCGAGUACCAGAACAAAAUAGAGCUCACACUUUUUUUGGCCCUUGGUUUUUAGUAUUCAUGAUGAAACCGAAUUAGUACUCACGAUGAAGCCAAAUUUUUGGAAUGCAAGCUCCUUCAUUUGGGUAUAUUUUCUUAUACCUUUUUUAUUAAAAGCAGACAACACCAUGGGCAGGAUAUACAUUUUUAUAUAAACAGACAAAAUAAAUAAAAGACUGCAGUCUUCAAGAAUCACCACCACUGAAGUAGGCAUAGCGCGCAAACUAAUCUGAAUAAGUGUGCAUAGAUUCAGCUUAUAAAACACAUUGAGUAUUUGUUUCUAGCUCUUUUUAUCAGCUGAUAUGCAAUAUUUAGGUUUUAAUUAGAAAAGAAAAUUUUACAAAGAAAAUGUAAAAACUAAACUUUUCUGUUUAGUUCCUCUCAGGAAACAGCACUUUCUAACAAUUCUCAGUGGCUCAGUUUGCACAAUCCAGACAUGCAUUUCAUUGGGCAAAUACAUAUUUUUAACCUAGCUUUUAAUGGAGUUGUACACAAGACUGAAGGUGGCGCUUGGUCCUGGAAGUCCUUUCCAAGUCACAGCUUGGAAUCUUAGGGUAUUCAAACAGUUGCAGCCAUCCUCAGAUGUGUGCUCAAACAAGCAUAGCAUAUGAACCAGGCUAUAUUUCUGAUUGUGACAGCUGGGAAAUAUGGCUCUGGUCUCGCAGACUGCUGCUAAAUAUACAAUCUGGUUUGUUGCUUUGUACUGAAAAACAGUUGGACCCACUUAAAUCUGUAGAAAAGUAAUUUUGUGGAGCAGCCCCAAAUCUUCUCCAAACAGCUUCUUAAUGUGUUAGGGAAAAAAUGUAACUUGGGAAGCUUUUCUUUCCAGAGCUACAAACUAGCUAUAUUUAAUCUCCAGAAGUCUAAGAAUGAGGUGAAUAUUUCUUGGACAAAUACAUUAACGAAGUACAUAAAAUAUGAGGCCCCGUCUUUAGGUUAAGAAGUGACACACAAGAAAAGAAAGGGGGAGAGGUUAGAGGUAUGAGAUCAGUUAGAGAGUAAUAGAUUGGUUAGAGUAGCAUGUAUUGGCAUACUUUUCUUUGCAUAUAUCUGGUUUGUGUCAGCUACAGAUAUGUAUAAAAACAUACCUUUGCAAAACUUCAUUUUAUGCAUGUGUUUAUUCUUGCUGUGUUACUUGCAAAUAACCCCACAAAGUGUACUUCUUUUUUAAUGGCAAACUGGGGGCUGGCAGAGGAUGGAGGAAGAACUGCAUUUCUAUACUAAAUGUGCAGCAGGAGGAGGAGGCUCUGUCUUGUAGCAGCCCACUUGAUUUCUAUGGUGUGAGCUGAGAAAGGAUGUUUAAAUUGUUAGUUAAUUGUUAGCACUCCAUCUACCCUCUGCUGGCCCACUCAUAUGCAAUUCCUCAUCAUAUUUGGCUAUCUGUUAGUGCCUAAUAUUUAUACUUGCCUUUAUUUCUAAUUCAAAACUGGUGAUUUGUUUGUAACAUGACACACACAAGUGGUAUGGUAUCUUGGAUAAGAAUAGUUUGGCUUCAGAUUUAGCUGACAAAUUAUUCUAGGUCAAUACUUCACUUAGGUUGCUCCUGCUGUUUGUUUUCUGUCGGCACACCUAAAACAUCAGACUGCUAUUUUUAAAGCAGUGCUAACAAGGACUAGGAGUGGUUCUCAUGUCUCUUACUGGGUUGGGUUGUAUCUAUGUCUAGUGUUUUCAGCAUCUAGGUGAUAUUUUUGGUUUCAUGCUUCAGCAAAUGUUCAGAUUGUCCAUUGUAUAUUGUUCUUCCGAGUCAGAAUGUGUUUGUAUUCUCAUUACCUUCAGUUCUCACCUUAUUAACUUUAUUUGCUGUUGGCUUGUGUAUACAUAUAAAAUGUACACACACUAAUAUGUUUAUUGACCACCAUGUGCCAAAUAAUGGUACAAAAUCUUUUGUCAGAUAAACCAAGUAGUUUCUAAGGUAGAAGGAAUAGUUUCUGUUGUUGCUGAUAUGUGCUAGCAUAGUUAUUCUUUUGGUUUUUAAAAUUCUGUUUACCCAAAUGUUGAUGACAGUGUUCGAGAGAGGUUGUGUACUUGUAAAGCAGAAAGGUGCUAAUAUAUGUUUCCACUUGGCUUGUCACUUAAAGCUUGUUACUCAGUUUGUUUGCACUUUUUUAUACAGAAUGCUGAGUUUCAUUCAUUCUAUCAAUAUUAUAUUAAGUAAUAUAUGAACAUUCAAAGUUUGUCUUCGUAUUUACUCCAGCCAUGUAGACUUAGAACAGGGUUGGCGAACCUUUGGCCCUCCAAAUGUUACAUAUCUUUUACCCAUGCUGGUUGGGGAUGAUUGGAAUUGGAGUGUAACAACAUCUGGAGGGCCUAAGGUUAGCUAUCCCUGGCUUAAAGGGAAAAACUAUGUUGUUCUCAUAAAUCUUCUUUUCUUUUCUUGGUUAUGGACCGGAUUCUAGGACUCAGUUGAGUUGGCAUCCUAACCUCAGAGACAUUUACUUGUCUUUGUGCAUUUGCACCACUAGGAUAGCUUUCUUAGAGGUGUGAUAACUUUCCUGUUUUCUUGUGGCUUUAUUAGCUGCUAGGAUGAUGCAAAAUGGGAUGGUUCAGGACAAUGUCUUUUGUAUGCCAUUUUUUUUUUGUACCAUGAGUGUCAUGAAUGAUCGACGUGAAAGUAAGGAAAAUAUGAAUAUCUGGAUGUCACCUUUUCAUUCACUGUUAAGAAAACAUAAGAACAGCCUUGUAGGAUCAGGCCACUUGCUCAUGUAGCCUAGCAUCCUGUUUUUACAAUGGCCAUGCAGAUGCCUGUGAGAAACUCAGAAGAUCUCUUUCCCCUCCUGCAAUUUCCAACAACUGGUAUUCAGAAACAGUGGAGACAGAGCAUAGCCAACAUACCUAUUAGUCAUUGAUAAUCCUUAUCCUUAUUCUCCAUGCAGUUGUCUAAUCAGCAUUGAGAGGGGUUUUUUUUACAAUCAAGCGGUGUAUAAAUUUUAUGAAACAAGCAAGCAAACAAUCCUCUUAAAGCUAAGUUGGUGGCCAUCACUGUCUCUUGUGGGAUCAAAUUCCAUAUUUUAACCCUGUGCUGCAUGAGGAAGUACUUUAUGUGUCCUGUAUCUUCAAACAUUCAGCUUUACUAGAUAUCAACAAGUUCAACAAGUUCAUGCUAAUUAAAAAUGUUCUAAAUUGAAACUCUACACCUGGCAACAGAAUUCUGAGGGUAGAUUUACAUAAUUAGCUUUUCUACCAUAAGCUGCCCUUUGGCUGCAACUUUAUAGCAGCUCCUUGUUUAUCUGGCCUUGUGGUAAUGCUCAGUUUGAUCAUAUCUCAGCUUAAUUGAGCCAAGUGAUGAACAUUCCUUUUGGUGUGCAUACAGGCAGGCCAUUUUGCUCCUCCCAUUGUGGCAAGAACACAUAAAUCAGGAAGUCUUCACUUAACUAUAGUUUUGCCCUGUUCUGAUCUUUUGAAGUAGCCUACAAGGCUGGGCAGGUGAGCAGUUGCAGAACCUCAGAGAGCUCUGCCUGUGACAGAAGUGGACUGAGACCUUCUGAGCUUUUUCCUUCAGUCCUCUUCUAGGGUCCAUUCCCUUCAUGAGAACUGCAGUCCUCAGAGCAGGAUUAGGGAAUAUUUGGCCCUUCAGGAUGUCCAAGGGUUCUCCACCACUGCCUUAGAGGAACUAUGGGUCAUACGUAGUGCUGCAGCUCAGCUGGUGCAACAAACUUCAGUGUGUGCAAUGCACCUUUCUUUUGUCCCUUCCAGCCUCCUACAUGUCCCCAAAACCAGCUCUGGGAGGUUGGGGACCCUCCAGAGCACAUUUAGGAGGCACUAGGCAGGAGGGAGAAGAGGAAACAGAAGUCCCAUUAUAGCAGUUGAGCUUUCUGGCACCUAACUAUAUAGAUUUAACCCAAAGUGCCUGCCAAUGGGUGCUUCUUCACUCUCUGUCCCGUUGGACCUGCGUAGUGGGUUGGGAGGUCUUUGGUUCUUCAGUCCCAGGGAAGAAGGUACCUAUGAGGAUUCCAUUUCUAUCUCCAUCAGGCCUAGCUCUGUUAGUUCUGGUUCAUGUUGCUCCUGCCCCUCCAGUUCUGGAUUUAGUGAUCCCCUGAACACCAACAUCAGGCUCAGAGUUUGACUACUUAGCUGGUGAAUCUGCAGCCUCCAACUCUGUGUCUUGAUUGCCACUAGGCUCUGAGGUCAUGACAGGUUUCCUGUUUUGCCCAUACCAGAGAACUAUGGUUAAAAGCUUCGGAACAUGCCUGGAUAGGAAACCAUGAUUGGAAGUUGGUUUGAUAUUCUGGCUUGCUCCCAAGCUGGUUCAAACAAAAUAAGUUCUGCUGACACAGAAGUGAAGGGACUGCAUGUGCAGCUGAAAGGCUCAUUCAUAUAUCAGCCUGUGCUACUUCCUUGAUAAGAAGUUUCAGUAGAAUCAGUCCCAAUCAAGUAAAUGUCCUUGGCUGAGGGGUAGCCAAUAUGGUGCCUUGCAGAUAUUAUGGGCAACAAUUCCCAUCGGCCCCAGCUAGAGUGAUCAGUGGUCAGGGAUGAUAAGAGUUAAUAGUUCACAACAUCUAGAAGGCACCUUGGUGGUUAUCCCAGCUUAUUACAGCAGUUGAUAGGUGACGUGCUAGUUAACAGCACCAAUCACUCAUUUGGUGUGAGAGUGAAUUACUCAAUCCCAGUCUUUUCUCCACAUAGCAGGUUUUAAAAAAAUAGCAUCGGUAUUUUUUUUACUAUAUAUAGGUGGAUCAUUGAAUGUAGGCUAUUGCUGCCUAUUGUUGUCUCUAGAUUGGGAAUAAAAUGAUCUAAAACAAAAGUAUGCUUAUUUAUUGUUUUGUUGAAUGAGCUGGUGCACCAAAUGUGUAACUUAAAGAAAAAUUAAUAUUUUUUUAUUUAGGUUCCUUCCAGGAAGGCGGAAUCCUUUGCAUCCAUGUUGAGGCGCUCUCCUUUAAUUCAGAUGGGACCUUGCAAAGACAAAAUUGCCAUUGGAGAAAUUUUCCACAUCACAGAAGAUGAUCUGUAUAUAGAUUUUGGUGGCAAAUUUCAUUGUGUAUGCAAGCGACCAGAAGUAGAUGGCGAGUAAGUAAAACAUUCAUGAUGGAAGUUUAGGGAAGCUUUUAAUGUUUAACAGACCAUUGUAUUUUAAUAUUUUGUUGGAAGCUGCCCAGAGUGCCUGGGGAAACCCAGCCAGAUGGGUGGGGUAUAAAAAAUAAAUUAUAUUAUUAUUAGUAUUAGUAUUAUUAUUAUUACUAUUACUAUUACUAUUAUUAUUAUUAUCAUUAUUAUUAUAUAAUAUAAUAUGUGUGAUAAAAGUUGAAUAUUCAUGUAUUUCAGACAAGUUCACCCUCAGAUAUUGAAACUUCACAAUCACAUAAUUGCCUUAAAAGUCUGUUUUUUCCUUUUCUUUCCAGCUGCUAAAGGGAAGUGACCAUAAAAUAUACUUUGCAUUUAAUGUCAGUAUAGGAACCUGUUCACCCCUCUGCCUCUUAAUGAGGCAGUACAGGUGUAUAAUUUUUCUCCUGCUUGUCCUGGCUCCAGAAGAAGGGAAGGAGCUAAAACAGGCAGCUAUGGCUAAAUAUUGCUUUUAGUACUUUUUAAAUCUGCUCAUAGUGUUGCUGGCAAUGAUCUCCUGCUGCUGUCACAUGUGCUCCUGCAUUCUAGCAGGAAUUGCAUGAGGCAUCAGAUGGGCCUCAGGACGCAGAAUGGGUGAAGGAACAGGGUAGAGUAGAAAGCAAAAUGAGUAAAACAAGUCUUAACAGAAGAGAGAAAAAUGAUUUUGGAGAGAGGCCCUUCCCACAGAUCUCUAUGCUGUUCAUGGGAAGUUAGGGUUUGAGAUGGUUCUGGGAAGUGAGGUAUGGGGAGCAGAAGGGAAAUGAGAGCUGACUGAAUUGAAAUAACUAGACAAAUGUGGCUCUGGGUCUCUGGUUUUAGAUAAUUUUGCCAUGCAACAGUGGGGUCAGAUAAGAUUAAAAUAUACAUACCAGCUAUUUCCUAACACUGUCAUAUUCAAAGAGAAAGAGUUACACUUUGAAUUCUCAUUCCAAUGGGUACUGGGUCUAUUUCCUGUGCAGCUGAGCACAUGGCUUUAAGAGUGGGUAACACAGUCCAUUUCAGAGGAUCUGCACUAAUUGCUACAAUCAACUGGAGUAAAGCAGACUUGACUCCCUACACAACCCCACAUUGAUGGAUAAAAGGAUGGGAAGCUGGGAGAAGAGUUUCUUAUCUUUCUGUCCAUCAUUGAAGUUGUUGUUGCUAUUGGAGGGAGGGAAGGAAAGACUGGGAGUGGUAGGCAAGGUUGGUUUGUGAGGUCAGGAGAUGAGAAAAUGGGAGGGAGAAGGGUUGAAACACUUUCCCCACCCCAUGUCCCCUAACAUGCCUGUGAAACUUUAUAAUUCUUUAGCUAGUUUACAAGUAAUAACCAGUGACUUAAGUGAAAUACUUUAAGUUAAAUAAAUUUGGUUAAAAUUCUGUGCAAAAGGUAAGCAAUUUAAAUGAAAACUUGUUUCAAAAAUAGAGUCUGUAAACCAGGAUUGUAAACUAUAACAAAAAGGUUUUGUUGUAACUUGUUCCUUUCCUCACUGGAUGGAAUUCCUAAGCUUUGUAAAAUAUCUUAAAUAGAUGUGCUGACUUACACCCUUGCAAGCUCUUCUCUUUUUAACAAUGAAUAACCAAAGCUAUCAGAUUAUUAACAGUUUCUUUUUGUGUGUGUUCAUUUUUCCUUAACUUCCUCCUCAAAAGAAAAGGUGGUGUGAGUUUCAGUGACUUGAGAUGGUUGCUGGCAAAUAAAGUAUGUAAUACUUGCGCUUCUAGCCACAAACUACUGAAAUCCCAGAAAGAAAUCUUUGACGGUUUUCCUUGUCCUGUUUCUGUAUCAUAGAAGUGUAUGUGUUUUUAAGAGAAUAGCUGCUAUUUUAUAUUUAAAGAAGUUUAAAUGCAAAGAGGAUAGUAUUUUAGAGCUGCUGUUACACAUUCACCAUAGCUUUUAGUCUAAACAAUGCAUGUGGUGCCAGUAUGUCUACUGUCAAGCAAUAGACAGCUUUUCUUUUUUUUACAGCACUCACACAUAGUAGCUGUGUGAUUGCAGGCUGAAUCUAUGCAUUCUUCCAGCAAAUAACUCCCCAACUUUAUUUAUAGUAGUAUAUACUUUGGAAAUUAUAACUCUUUAUCUACUGUGGACAUCAUAUUAUUCGCUUAGUUGCCUUACAGUGUACUUUUUGUUUUGCCACCCACUUUGUUGUUCUGAAGAAGUUAUUUUCAGCCGCAAAUUGAGGUGCUGCUUUCUGUGGCUUGGUAUUCCACAAAAACACUGUUGCCCAAAUUGCUGAGACCAUGAAUCUGUACCCAUUUUUGGAGUACGUCUUUGUUUAGCGCUGUAGACAAUUAAGCAUUAGCCAGCAGAAUUUACAUCUUGGAGCCAGAGUGAAAGUCAUUGCAAAACACAAUCCAUCAGUAUUGUCAUUGUACUUGAGGGUCUACUCAGUUUUUUCUAAAUGAACUCGUAUCCUUUGCUUGCACAUGUAGAUGCACUGUUGAACUGAACUAAAUGUUAACCAGUUCAUGGCGCCUCAAUAACUUUGGCGACUCCCUAAAAUAUUUCAUUUCAGGAGAACUUUGGCAUCCCAGCUGGGGCAGUGGCUAGGAAUAUAUCUCUUCCCUUGUGCCACCUUUUUCCUAUGGCCUCUAGAGGCUGUACAGGCUGGGACAAAGGUGGUGCUUCUAUCAGUGGUGAAUAGAACUUCCUGGUUUUCUGCCCUUGCCAGGUCAAGGACAUCUGAGCAGAAAGAUAGGGAUAGGGUCACCAGAUUUAUGUAGCCAUUUCUCUCUCCCCCCGCCCCUGCUUCACACCUUCUCCCCUAUAGAAAAUAAAGAGAAAGAGAGAGAUUAUGGUGGCAUGGAUAGAAAUAAGGAAUUUCCUUGUUUACUUUUGGCUCUGGCCGUAUGUGACCUCCAACCAGUUCCCCCUGAGGACCCUUAAUAACACAGUUUCAAUGAAGCAGCAUUAAAAAUGGGGUCCGGAGAGCCAGUACUAACCAGAGAACAACUCAUAAUCAUAGGCUGCUUUAAAAGAAGAGUCUUUAAGUGCUGGUUGAACACAAAGUGGAAGAUGAUCAAACCUCUUGGGACAGCAAGUUCCACAUAUGGGGUGCUGCAACAAAGCAACCAUUUUUGCAUGUUGCCACCAAACAUGCCUCAGAAAUGGAGAAGGCCUCAUGUUUUCUGGUUCCACAUUUGCUUUUUAAAAAUUGGGAGAAAGGGGUUCUGGGCUUUGAGGGCUGGUUAGCUGCUUGACUCUCCCUUGCCCACCUACUCACCUACCAAGGAACUGCUCCUGCUCAGGUGAAGAGGCCUCCCAUGUCCAACUUUGGGAAGGAGGCAGCAAGGCUCCAGAAUCCUGUCAGAGCAUCACGUCUCCUUCCCUAAGCUGGGCAAACACUUUCUGGGUUUGGGGAAGGAGGCGCAAUGCUCUGAUGUGGUCCAAGAGCCUUCCCACCUCCUUGCCCCUCCCCCCAAAUGUGGCGGUACUGCUUACCAUUAUGUAGUGCCAGAAAAAAGCACUGGCUGUGUAGUCUGAACCAUUUCUACUCAGAAAUAAUUCGGUAGGACUAACUCCCAGGUAAAUGGGUUAGGAUUGCAACCUUUGUGCACUUUUAACACUCAACGUCCCAGGACGUUGCAGUUCUCAGAUGUCUAACAAAGCAGUAAUGUACAGAGGCACCAGGAUUAACAAGAGAGAGAAAAAUCAGACAAAAGUGAAUCUCAAGCUCACAUCCUAGUGGUAGAAGUUGUUCCAAGUCCCUGCUGCUGGAUCUUCAGGGGAAGAGCAAAGGUGCUGUGGGAGUAAUUAAGGUGGGAGAGAGUCAACUGGUGACUUUAGGCUUCUCAUUUGACCUUGUCAUGUGCACAUGUCAUGUGCAGAAGAGAGUGCAGCGCCAUUCUUCCUCCUUCACUUCCUAGGCUCUUUAGCCCCCAUUGAGCCGGGAACAGUGGCUGAGGACAAAAGCUGUAUACACUGUACAAACAGAGCACCAAAGCAGCAGUACACUGACUCAUUCUUCGCUCUGUGUGAGAACUGAGGGGGACUCUAUUCACUUCCUUUGUGCUGGUGUCUGUCAACAGCGCUGUUUGAGGCAAGGCCUAUUGUGCCGGCCAAUGUUUCUUAUUGACCCAAGUCUGUGCCUGCAAUGUUCCCAGGGUCGAAGUUGCGAGUGAGAGAAUGUUUGAAAAGGGGUAAUCAUAGGGUAAAUGCAUUUUGCUGCAUUGUCAUCUGACCUAUUAAAUCUAAACUGUGGUCUUUGUUAAUGCAAACAGGUAAUUAUGUAGUCACAGCUGCAGCUAUUGACAUCUGGUUACCGCCCUAAGGGGGGAAAAUAGGUGGUUUUCUCUACAGUGUCUAGGUCCUUGAAAGCUUGACUUUAAUGAUAUUAAGUGGAAGUAGAGGAUGGAUUAGUGAGACUGACAGGUCAACAGGGUAGAUACUUUUAUACAUAUAAGGGGGGAAAGCUGUGAUCACUGAUAUGAACUUCUUCAUCCUACCUGUUUCAGCAUUUUCCCAUUGCUGUACAUUUGGCUGUUUUGUAUUUCCCGAUCUAGUUUCUCAGUGACUGUGAGCCAAGUUUGGGGAGUACAUUUUGUAUCUUGCCUUCCUGCCUCUUUUCAUAUUCUAAUACCAUUGUCACUUUCUUUCUUAUAACUGACUUACUGCUGUAGCACAUAUGUAUGUUAUACCAUCCCUCUAGGCUGAGCUGCUAGGAGCUUAAUAUUUAUAGCAUUAUUAUGCGUAAGUUUAAAUCCUUAAGUGGUAAGUGUGCUAGGGUGGUAAUAGCAUUCCUGGCAAUAAAUUAUUUUUAUUGCAGCUGCCUUGCUUUCAGCAUAAAAAAGGUUGACAUUCAUGGUACCAGUUGAAAAUCCUCCAAUGUAAAAGCCUGUUUCCAGUGUAUUUUCCAGGGAAUUUUAACGGCAGAUGUUUUGAAAGUCACAAUUCUCCUCAGGGCCUAAUAAUGUUUGUUGCAAGAUUGGUGAUGAACUUGAAUUUGGAAAACAAGGCUGUAGUGAAUGUAAAGUCACAUAUAAUUCUAGCUCACUUGAUCAGCAGCUGAAGAAGGAGCAAAAAGGGUUUUCUUGUGUGUGUGUUUCUUUGUGGCUGAUUAGCUGCUCUCUCUGUGCAAAGGUCAGAGGGGGCAGGGUUUCUGUUGAGGCAGGUGAUUAGCUGUGGGAGGAGCUUAUCAGAGCUUGCAGGGCAGCGGCGCGCACAGUUUGAUCCAUCUUUUAGAUUUAGGGGAGCUAGUCUCAAACGUUUGUUGGGGGAGACCUAGGGUUUUUUGUGGGGGGAGUUAUUUGUCCUGUCUUCACGCUUUUUAUGAUGGAGGACCGCUGUAGCCACCCCCAACGACACGUUCUCAAGAUGGAGGGGGAGGGAACAGCUGCAGUCGCCUGCGGUUCCUGCGCAAUGUUUGCCAUCUUGCCAAAGGUUGCAGGCAGCUUUACCUGCAGCAAUUGCAUGUUGAUUGCCCUCUUAGAAGACAAAGUCCAGCAACUGGAGGAACGUGUAGCUACGCUCCAAAGAAUUAGAGAGCUGGAGCUCUUCUUGGAAGCAACAGAGCACACCGUCUCCACCAAGGAGGAGACAGGGGACUCCCCUGAGAAGGAGGCUAGUUCACCAACACAGGAGCCAGAUAUAUGGAGAAACGUGACUCAAAGAAGUAGGAGGCCCAGGGUUCGCUCUGAUUGUUUAGAAAUACACAAUCGCUUUGAGGUCCUCUCCCCUAGCAUGGAAAACGAAGAGCAGACUCCAUUUGAGGAUCUCUCUCUCAUUACAGUCGAUCAGGUAUAUGAAGAUGAGCAGCAAAGUCAGUUCUCAGGGAAUGUGCAGGCGACCUUGGAACGGACAGCUCACGGAAGAACCCCGACCAAACCUAAGAGGAGGCGUGUAGUGGUGAUAGGGGAUUCCCUACUGAGGGGAACACAAGCAGUGAUCUGUGGGCCUGACAAAAUGUCUCGGCAAGUGUGCUGUCUCCCCGGGGCUAAGAUCCAAGAUGUAACUGAAUGACUGCAAGGAAUCAUAAAACCCACUGACAAAUACCCCUUCCUCUUGGUUCAUGUGGGAACCAAUGACACUGCAAGCAAUAGCCUCCAGAAGAUCAAAAGAGACUACGAGGCUCUGGGCAGGAAACUGAAGCAAUUAAAUGCACAAAUUGUCAUCUCAUCUGUCCUCCCAGUUGAACGACGUGGCCCAGGGAGAGAGGGAAAAUAGUGGAAGUGAACAGCUGGCUUCGCAAAUGGUGUAAACAGGAACGGUUUGGAUUCUUAGAUCACGGACUGCAGUUUCUUGAAGAUGGACUUCUGGCAAGCGAUGGGCUGCACCUCACAACGGUUGGGAGGAAUGUUUUUGCCAAAAAUCUCAGAAACCUCAUCAGGAGGGCUUUAAACUGACUAAUGUGGGGGAGGGAGACAGUGCUCCUGAAGGUAGGAGUCUAUCAAUUGAUGAAGAUGAUCAUCCAACUGUCAUAGACCAAAUGGAGCAAACAGCACGCAGACCUAGUGGUGGGAGGAAAAAAUCCUUAAAUAAGAGACAUGGGGGAAUCAUUAAUGGACUUCAGUGUCUGUACACUAAUGCGCAAAGCAUGGGAAAUAAACAAGAUGAGCUUGAGCUCUUGGUACAGCAAACUAAAUAUGACAUAAUAGGCAUCACUGAAACCUGGUGGGAUAGGUCCCACGAUUGGAAUGUCAUAAUGGAGGGAUACAAUCUAUUUCAAUGAUGAGUAAAACCUCUGCCAUCCACGACCUGAUUGUGGAUGGAGGAUUUGACCUGGCAUGUGUGACAGAGACCUGGUUGGAUGAAGCAGAUGGGUCCGUCCUUGCCGCUGCUUGUCCACCAGGUUUCUGUUACGCACAGCAACCCAGGCCUUGUGGGCGGGGAGGGGGGGUUGCAGUGAUUUUUAGGAAGUCAUUAGUUUGCACCAGGCGUCCUAUUGGAAAGACCCAGUUCUCUGAGUGCAUGUUCUGGAAGUUGGGCAAUAGGGGCAGUACAGGAUUCCUAUUGGUGUACCGACCUCCCGCUGCACCAAGGAUUCCCUGCCCGAGCUGCUUCAGGUCGUGGCGGAUGUCCUCCUGGAGACACCUAGUUUGGUUGUCCUAGGGGACUUUAACAUCCAUGCCGACACGACCUUCUCGGGACUUCGUGGAAAGCAUGGCCUCCAUGGGGCUGUCCCUGAAUAAGUCUGGCCCAACUCAUAGCCACGGGCAUGCCUUAGACCUGGUGUUCACCUCUAUGGAUGUUGGUGAUCUGACAUUAAGUAAAAGCAAAACCAAAGAAGUGCCAUGGUCAGAUCACUUCCUGGUGCAACUGGACUUCUCCGUGACCCUUCCUCUGCAGGGAGGCGGGACCGAUUCAGAUGGUCCGCCCCACCACUUAAUGGAUCCAAAUGGUUUCCAGAGAGUGGUAGGGGAUGUUUUAUCCCAUGUUGAUGGCCUUUCAGCUGAUUCCCUGGUGGCCCGCUGGAAUGUGGAGUUAACCAGGGCUAUUGACUGUUUGGCUCCAAAGCGCCCUCUCCGAUUGCAUGGAGUCCGGACAGCCCCGUGGUUUUCCACGGAUCUGAGGGCAAUGAAACAAUCGUUGAGACGGCUAGAGCGCCGGUGGCGGAUAACCCAUUCUGAAUCUGACCGGACACGGGUUAGAGCUCAAUGUCGAGCCUACCAAGUGGCGAUAGCGACGGCGAAGAAGACUUUCUUCACCGCCUCUAUUGCAUCUGUGGAAAACAGCAGCAGGAGACUCUUUCAGGUGGUUCGCAAUUUAGCGGAACCACCUGCUCCAUCAGGGCCCAGUAGCGGCCACAUGAUCUCCUGCAAUGACUUUGCAAAGUGUUUGCAGAUAACGUCACUCGGAUUCGAGGAGAGGGCGACUCCACCGUGGGAGCAGGGCCCGGGCGGGAGAGUGCUAGAGUCCUGUCUAGUCAAGUUGUGUGGGAUCAAUUCCAAUCUGUUACCCCCGAGGAUGUGGACAGGCUGCUUGGACGAGUGAAACCAACCACUUGCCUCCUUGAUCCUUGCCCAUCCUGGCUUAUAAAAGCUAGCCGGGAAGGACUGGGCGAUGGGCUUCGUGGGGUGGUGAAUGCUUCCCUCCGCGAGGGAGCCUUCCCAGACCCGCUGAAAGAGGCGGUUAUUAAACCGCUUCUUAAAACCAUCUUUAGAUGCGGCCACGAUAGCCAACUAUCGCCCAGUCUCAAAUCUUCCAUUCUUGGGCAAGGUGAUUGAGCGAGUGGUUGCUGAACAACUCCAGGCACGCCUGGAAGAAGCGGACCAUUUGGAUCCCUUCCAGUCGGGAUUCAGGCCUCAUCAUGGGACUGAAACUGCCUUGGUCGCACUGGUUGAUGAUCUCCGGCGGGCUAGGGACAAAGGUGAGAGCUGUUUCCUAGUUCUGCUGGAUCUCUCAGCGGCGUUGAUACCAUCGACCAUAACAUCCUUCUGGACCGUCUUGAGGGGCUGGGAGCUGGGGGCACUGUUAUACAGUGGUUCCGCUCCUUCCUCCUGGGCCGUGUUCAGAAAGUGGUGGUGGGGGAUGAGUGUUCAGACCCCUGGGCCCUCACUUGUGGGGUGCCUCAGGGUUCUGUCCUCUCCCCCAUGCUUUUCAACAUCUACAUGAAGCCGCUGGGAGAGAUCAUCAGGGGAUUUGGGCUGGGUAUGCAGAUGAUACCCAGUAUGAUACCCAGUAUCAGUAUGCAGAUGAUACCCAGCUCUACCUCUCUUUCAAAUCAGAACCAGUGAAGGCAGUGAAGGUCCUGUGUGAGUGCCUGGAGGCGGUUUGAGGUUGGAUGGCGGCUAACAGAUUGAGGUUGAACCCUGACAAGACAGAAGUACUGUUUUUGGGGGACAGGAGGCGGGCAGGUGUGGAGGAUUCCCUGGUCCUGAAUGGGGUAACUGUGCCCCUGAAGGACCAGGUGCGCAGCCUGGGAGUCAUUUUGGACUCACAGCUGUCCAUGGAGGCACAGGUCAAAUCUGUGUCCAGGGCAGCUGUUUACCAGCUCCAUCUGGUACGCAGGCUGAGACCCUAUCUGCCUGCGGACUGCCUCGCCAGAGUGGUGCAUGCUCUGGUUAUCUCCCGCUGGAUUACUGCAAUGCGCUCUACGUGGGGCUACCUUUGAAGGUGACCCGGAAACUACAACUAAUCCAGAACGCGGCAGCUAGACUGGUGACUGGGAGCGGCCGCAGAGACCACAUAACACCGGUCUUGAAAGACCUACAUUGGCUCCCAGUACGCUUCCGAGCACACUCAAAGUGUUGGUGCUGACCUUUAAAGCCCUAAACGGCCUUGGUCCAGUAUAUCUGAAGGAGCCGUCUCCACCCCCAUCGCUCUACCCGGACACUGAGGUCCAGCACUGAGGGCCUUCUGGCGGUUCCCUCACUGCGAGAAGCCAAGUUACAGGGAACCAGGCAGAGGGCCUUCUCGGUAGUGGCGCCUUCCCUGUGGAACACCCUCCCACCAGAUGUCAAAGAGAACAACAACUACCAGGCUUUUAGAAGACAUCUGAAGGCAGCCCUGUUUCGGGAAGCUUUUAAUGUUUGAUGUAUUAUAGUAUUUUAAUAUUCUUUUGGAAGCCGCCCAGAGUGGCCGGGGAAGCCCAGCCAGAUGGGCGGGGUAUAAAUAAUAAAUUAUUAUUAUUAUUAUUAUUAUUAUUAUUAUUAUUUCGGAGAAACAGACCAGACAAGAAAGGAGGAGGAGUGGCGUUAUAUGUCAGGGAUGUGUAUACCUGUGAAGAGAUCCAAGAUUUAGAACCUCAAAGCCAAAGUGAGAGCAUUUGGGUCAAAAUUAAGGGAGAGAAGAAUAACAGUGACCUCAUUGUGGGAGUUUACUAUAGAUCCCCAAGCCAAACGGAGGACAUAGAUGAUGCCUUCCUGGAACAGAUGGCCAAGCAUGCAAAAGGAAGGGAGAUAGUAGUAAUGGGGGACUUCAAUUACCCGGAUAUUUGUUGGAUGUCAAACUCAGCCAAGAGCAUAAGGUCAAACAGAUUCCUCACUGGCCUUGCAGACAACUUCAUUGUCCAGAAAGUGGGAGAAGCAACAAGAGGAACAGCCAUUUUAGAUCUGGUCCUAACCAAUGUUGAUGACCUGGUUAGUGGGGUAGAAGUGGAAGGAUCAUUAGGCGCAAGUGAUCAUGCUCUUCUGAAGUUUACUAUACAGCGGAAAGGAGCAGCCAAGCAUACUAGGACUCAAGUUCUUGACUUUAAGAAAGCCGACUUCAUAAAACUUAGGGAAGUGCUGGGUGAGAUCCCAUGGACAGUAAUACUAAAAGGAAAGGGAGUUCAUGAUGGCUGGGAGUUUGUUAAGAGGGAGAUAGUAAAAGCACAACUUCAGGCAAUACCAAUGAGACAGAAACAUGGAAGGUGCCUAAAGAAGCCAGGGUGGCUAUCUAAAGAACUUUUAACUGAGUUAAGAUUAAAAAGGAUGUGUACAAAAAUGGAAAAGGGGGGAAACCACCAAAGAGGAAUUCAAACAAAUAGCCAGCACGUGUAGACACAAAGUCAGAAAAGCUAAAGCAUAGAAUGAACUCAGGCUUGCUAGAGAGGUUAAAAGCAACAAAAAAGGCUUUUAUGGGUAUGUUCGUAGCAAAAGGAUGAACAAAGAAACAGUGGGGUCACUCAGAGGAGAAAAUGGUGAAAUGCAAACAGGGGACACAGAAAGGGCUGAACUCCUCAAUGCCUUCUUUGCCUCAGUCUUCUCCGAUAAAGAAAACAAUGCCCGACCUGAAGAAUUUGGAGCAAAUGAUUCAGCAGAGGAAACACAGCCCAGAAUAACUAAGGAGAUAGUACAAGAAUGCUUGGCUAGUUUAGAUGUAUUCAAGUCUCCAGGGCCAGAUGAACUGCAUCCAAGAGUAUUAAAAGAACUGGCAGAUGUGAUCUCAGAACCACUGGCAGUCAUCUUUGAGAAUUCCUGGAGAACAGGCGAAGUCCCGGCAGACUGGAGGAGGGCAAAUGUUGUCCCUAUUUUCAAAAAGGGGAAAAGAGAGGACCCAAAUAAUUACCGCCCAGUCAGUCUGACAUCAAUACCAGGGAAGAUUCUGGAGCAGAUCAUUAAGCAAACAGUCUGUGAGCACCUAGAAAGGAAUGCUGUGAUCACCAAUAGUCAGCAUGGAUUUCUGAAAAAUAAGUCAUGUCAGACUAACCUGAUCUUGUUUUUUGACAGAAUUACAAGCCUGGUAGAUGAAGGGAACGCAGUGGAUGUAGCCUACCUUGAUUUCAGCAAGGCAUUUGACAAGGUGCCCCAUGAUAUUCUUGUAAAGAAGCUGGUAAAAUGCGGUCUUGACUAUGCUACCACUCAGUGGAUUUGUAACUGGCUGACUGACCAAACCCAAAGGGUGCUCAUCAAUGGUUCCUCUUCAUCCUGGAGAAGAGUGACUAGUGGGGUGCCACAGGGUUUUGUCUUGGGCCCGGUCUUAUUCAACAUCUUUAUCAACGACUUGGAUGAUGGACUCAAGGGCAUCCUGAUCAAAUUUGCAGAUGACACCAAACUGGGAGGGGUGGCUAACACCCCAGAGGACAGGAUCACACUUCAAAACGACCUUGACAGAUUAGAGAACUGGGCCAAAGCAAACAAGAUGAAUUUUAACAGGGAGAAAUGUAAAGUAUUGCACUUGGGCAAAAAAAAUGAGAGGCACAAAUACAAGAUGGGUGACACCUGGCUUGAGAGCAGUACAUGUGAAAAGGAUCUAGGAGUCUUGGUUGACCACAAACUUGACAUGAGCCAACAGUGUGACGCGGCAGCUAAAAAAGCCAAUGCAAUUCUGGGCUGCAUCAAUAGGAGUAUAGCAUCUAGAUCAAGGGAAGUAAUAGUGCCACUGUAUUCUGCUCUGGUCAGACCUCACCUGGAGUACUGUGUCCAGUUCUGGGCACCACAGUUCAAGAAGGACACUGACAAACUGGAAUGUGUCCAGAGGAGGGCAACCAAAAUGGUCAAAGGCCUGGAAACGAUGCCUUAUGAGGAACGGCUAAGGGAGCUGGGCAUGUUUAGUCUGGAGAAGAGGAGGUUAAGGGGUGAUAUGAUAGCCAUGUUCAAAUAUAUAAAAGGAUGUCACAUAGAGGAGGGAGAAAGGUUGUUUUCUGCUGCUCCAGAGAAGCGGACACGGAGCAAUGGAUCCAAACUACAAGAAAGAAGAUUCCACCUAAACAUUAGGAAGAACUUCCUGACAGUAAGAGCUGUUCGACAGUGGAAUUUGCUGCCAAGGAGUGUGGUGGAGUCUCCUUCUUUGGAGGUCUUUAAGCAGAGGCUUGACAACCAUAUGUCAGGAGUGCUCUGAUGGUGUUUCCUGCUUGGCAGGGGGUUGGACUCGAUGGCCCUUGUGGUCUCUUCCAACUCUAUGAUUCUAUGAUUCUAUGAUCAAUUUGACUGAUCUCUCAGCUCUUUGCUUUUUAGCUGGCUACUUGAGUUUUGAGUCUAAGUCACAACAACAUUCAACAUGGAUAGGUGGGUGCCAUAAUAAUAAGAGAAAACUAGGACAUUAGCGGGCAGAUAAAUUUUGAUUGUAUAUUUCUGGUUAUUUUUUAUAAUAUACAAGUCACUUCCAUAUUUUCAUAAGCUUCUGAGUUUUUCAGGAGUGCUUCUAGAUUAGCCUUAUUCAGUUACUGACCCAUUUAUUUAUUAGUAUCAGAUAUUUUAAGUAAACUAUUUCUACCUAGUCUUUCCAUCCAAAAGAACUUGCAAGGUGGCUAACAAAAUAGAAUCACAAUAAAACAAUUAAAUAAUCAUUGAAUUACAUAACAGUAAAUAUACACAUAGCUGCAACACCAGCAAGCGGUAGAUCAGUCAUACAGUAGUAAAUAUAAACAAUAAUCAGCUUCACCUAUCUCAGAAGCCCCACAGACAAGUCAUGCUAGCCUCUGUCUAAUAGGACUGCAAUGAGUCCCCAACCCCUCUCUUCUGUAUUGUGAGGCAUACUUGCAAAUCUUCCCACUACCCUUUUCUUUUUAAAGAUACAGUAAUUAAAUAAGUUUAUAGACUAUGAAAAUGCAUAUUACAAUCAGUAUGUGCCAGCCUCAGCUGUGGGCAUUUGCCACCCAUACACUGACCAUUGUAGCCACUUUCCCUUAUUGUACGUAGCAUGAGAACAGUAGAGUUGAAAAAUUGUGUUGUGUGCUUUUUUUUAAUAUGUGGGAGAAGUUGGGCAAUGCAAUGCUUUGACUUACAAUGAGUUUACUUCUAUUAUUUAUUUUAUUUUGUAGCCCACACUUUUCCCCUGAAGGGCUCCCAAAGUGGCUUUACACAAAAGCAAUAAAGAGUAAAAUUGUGUACAAUAUAAAAAUUAAAAUUAUAACAGUCAAAUCAUGUAAAAUACAGAGAGUGGGGAAUACUUAAGCUGCAGCAUCAGCAUUAUUGAAGAGCCAGUUGUAAAAAGCAAGCAGUGACUGGGCCAAAGAGACCUACUCAGGAAGAUCUUAUCAGCAAUGGCUGACAGGUCCCAGGCUCUACUGCUCACCCACCUCACUUCUGAAUGCAGGGGAAUGAGGAGAGGGACUUGGCUGUUGAUGAGAAUGCACAAAUUGGUACAUGUGGGAUGAUACAAUUAUUCAGGUAUUCUGGCGCCAAAUGGCAUUAAAAGCCCUUAACGGCUAAUGGCACCUUGAAUUGGACCCAGAAACAAAUGGCAGUCAAUGACGAUUGAGAUAUGUUGCAAACAAUAAGCCUUAGUUAAAAGCCUGACUGCUAUAUUUUGUACCAGUUGAAGUACCCUGCUUAUAGAACAAGGUCUCUAUCUCCAGAUUUGGCUCAGUAAGAACAUUGGUUUGCUUUUUCUUCUUCUUUGCCUCAGAAGGGAUAGUGCUAUAUGCAGGCACUUCACCUAUUCUGAAUAUUUAAAAUACUUAAUAAGCUACUUUUUAGGGUAAAGCUUGCCAAAGCCUAGUGUACAAAGAUAAAAGAAAGCUGAACGUUCAACCAUACUUUAUAAAACGGUAGUUUUGAAUCUUUAGAUCAGUCCAGCAGUUCAGUCCCGUGUUUUUGCAUAUUUAAGAGCAAAGGAGUAUUCUGGGUAAAAAGGUUUAACAAAAUAAUAUUUUACAGAAUCUAAGUGAUAGUGUUGUUGAAUAAUGCUUUAUUUUUCCUUCUUUUUGUCUGCCUUCCAAGGAUUCUAUAGGAGUUGAAUGACACUGGAGUAGAAGAAAUUUCCUACUAGUUUUGGUGCUUAUUUUUAAUUUGUGUCCCUGGAAAAUCUAUAUAACCUGAAACCCUUAGGCAUCCUUGUAAUCUUAUUAGUAUAUUUUGCUCAGUUUUCCCCCUUCCUUUGUUGUAACUAAAAGAACCCGAAGCCUUGGCAUGUUACAGCAUGAAACUGUAAACCAAUUUUCCUCUGGACACCAUGUCUAAAGAACAACAUGUUGUUUAAAAAGCCUCCUUGCAAUAUUUGUAACUCCCUAUAGGCUGAAUAAAAGACACAUCUUUCUCUGUUUUGCUAAGUGUCUUAAUUAGGUAUUGGCUGAAAGCCAUGGCCAGUAUAAAAUGGGAUUUUCCUAAGACAACAGCAGAAACUCAUAGUAUCAGUUUUUGGCAGGGUCUUGACUGUCUUAGCAACAUUCUGUGCUUGUACUUACCUGUUGUGAGAAAGUAGGAUGCUGCCCAGGCUUGAAGUAAGCAGGUGGACAUUUUCUCAGUGCAAGUCUAAAAACUCUAUAAAGGUUUCGGAAAGAAGGGUAACUGUCAGUGAACAUGGUCAUUGUUACGAGCCACUGUACUCAACAAAACUCAGUCACAAGUGGAUGGACUAAUUAAACCUGUAGAAAAAUGUCAGCUUUGUCAGACUGUACCAAAUAUAGAGAAGUGCCUCUCUUUCAGAUCUUCUGCUUUUGCUUCGACUUAGUAUUUUUUAUUACGCUUCAUUCCUCUGCAUCUGAAAUCUGAGCCCAGAUGAAACACUUUUCCAUAUAAGAAUACAGCACAAAGAGCAACUAUGGAUACCAUUUAUUUCUUAUGUGAAUAUGAGUAAGAAUAUAUAGGAACAAGCCUUUCUGAUCUCACUUUUAAGAUACCAGAUUACUGUGUCAGAUUAAUGAGCAUUUCUUAAAUGCUGGUUGCAGAGUUUCUGAUAGUGUGAGUGAGAUACCUUGAGGGAAGGAAUGGGGAUUGUGGAAAGGUUAAACGAAACUACCUUGCACUUGCAUAGUGCCACAUCCCUGUCUGAAAUAAUGCAAGAAAUGUGCUUGCCUCUUCUGUCUACUGUGUGCUUAAUUUCAAUGCAGUAGAAAUGGCAGCAAGUUUAGUUGCAUUUUGUUUUCAUUAGAUUGUAGGCAUGUGAAAUACAGAAGGAUCUCUAGAGCCCGAACAAUGCACCGAGAAGGGUAUGGUGGGUGGGUGUGAUGGUGGCAGGAUGCCUAGCACCUCAAUCUUGUCCACUGUUCAGAAUUUGGGUAUUUUUUUAUUGGCAUGUACAGCAAAAUAAUAAAUGGGCCCAGUGUGGAAUCUCCUGGAUCCUGAGCACCUCUCACAGCCAGCGUCUUCUGGCAUACUGCCCAAUCCAGGCCUGAUCAGACCCAGCCUGUCUCCUGACCACCACCACCACCUGCUGCUGUGAGUUCCCAGGGGGCAGGGGCAGGCUUGGAUUGCUCAGCCCUUGAUUUCCUCCUGUUGAUAUCCUAGGACUCAGCUAGAUUUGUAAAGAAAAAGCGAUUUAUCUGCGUUGUAUAUGCAAUAUAACAUUGUGCCACCAGAUGACGAUAUGGAGUCCCAUUUUUCUCUCCCUGUUUUCCCUGUUUAAAUUUACAACACCUUUAACUGAAACGCUUCUUUGAUCUAGCCCUACUGUCCCUCUCAGUAGGAGCAUGUCAGGGAUAAUAAUACAGUAUCACAUUCAUUUUUUGUCCCACUUUUGAGGGGCCCAAGGUGUAACCUUUUAACAGCAAGCAGAAAAAAGAAGCAAACAAAGCAGAUAGCAAGCAACAGAGAAGAGAUAAUGUAAGAACACUUGAGGAGUCAGGGAGAGUCAAAUAAUACAUCUAAUGUUCCAUAUUGGCAUAUGAAUGCCUUUUUCUUUCAGGUCUGUUUCUUAAAGCUAACUUAGUAGAUUAAAAACAAACAAAAAAAUAAGGCAGUACUGCCUUGGAGAGAGAGCAUCAGUCAUGAAAUUUGAAAAGAACUUGGGUAGCGGUGAAAGCAAUUUCUCUAUAUCAUCUUCUGAAUAAAAGAAGACAUUCAUGGAAUUCUUAGAUGUUUUGUGUCUUCUGCUCUGCAAAAUCAUUGUGAAAUGUGAAGUCUGGCAAGAAUGAUAUUAAAAAACAACAACAAAAAACAGCUGCUGAAUUUGCCCAACUUGUGCAGCUGUUGCUUGAUGUCUGGUACUGUGAGAGCACCUUUCUGGCAGGUUCUCAGGCUCCACUCGGAGGUCAGAACAGGAUUAGGACAGGAACCAUUUUGCCUAUACUGACAGCUGCACUAUUCAGUCAGUGGGGUCUGACAUCAGCUUUGGAACUUCAGAAGAAUUUACAAUUGGUGCACAAUCAAAAACGUUUAUAUCUCUAGCCAGAAGUCAGACAUACUGAAAAGAUAGAUAUGAGAAUAUGGUGCGUUGUGGUUUUUUAAAAGCACAACAAAUAAUCUUUCCUUCGCCCGUCAGUUGUAUGAUGACCAGCACUGGGUGAAAUCCCCAAACAUCUCUGACUUCUCCCCAGCUAUAACAUGACUAAGUGGCUGGAGGAGCAGAGAGGAAACGCAUGUUUCCUCUGCAGCAACAGGGAGUGAUGGGAGCGGUGAACCAAGAAAUUGGUUCAGGGUGUAGAUAUUCUUGUUUGGUAUAAUUAUUUGUUGAUAGUUGUAAGACACCACUGAAUGUCCCCCCCCCCCCCGACUUUUUCCCAGGCCACGUCCCUCCUCAGCCCUGCUCUGAGCCCUCCCCAAGAGCCACUGCCUGGCUAGAAUGUGUCUUUGAAAUUGGAUAGUGCAUCUUGCUUGUCUGGAUAGAGAAGUGUGUGUAUGUGUUUGUGUUUGUGUGUAGAAACCUCUGACUUUUGCGUGGCUGGAAUGUCUCAACCAUAAUACAGUCAUUCCUCUUGUUACGUUUGCUUCAUGGUACAUUUUUUCAGGUUGCGUCCCACGGCGACCCAGAAGUACCGGAAAGGGUUACUUCCGGGUUUCGCUACUCGCGCAUGCACAGACGCACAAAAUGACAUCAUGCGCAGAAGCGGUGAAUUGCGACCCGCCCAUGCGCAGACGCGGGUUACGUUCCUUUCAGGUUGCGAACGGGGCUCCGGAACGGAUCCCAUUCACAACCAGAAGUACCACUGUAUAGAAUUAAGAUUAUAAUACUACUAUAGCACUAACAGUUCAACAAUUAAUUUUAUUUAAGAGAGCAUAACACUUAUCAAAAAGCCACUUCAUAUCCCACAGUGGCCACACACAACUUUUAUAACGGGACGCAAAAGGUCAGAAACCCCUUAACAGUUUUUCUGGCAGCUGUUUCCUUAAGAAGGCGACAAGGUGGGUAAGUGACAAACACAGUCUCUCUCCCCACCCCACCCCUCAGUGUUCCACCAUCAGCUGUCAUAUGAAGACUUGUGGGGAAGAAUAGGUUCAUUGAAUCAUAGAACUGUAGAGUUUGAAGGGGUCCUGAGGGUCAGCUAGUCCAACCCCCUGCAGUGCAGGAAAGUCAUAAAUGAGUUUUCCCAAAGAUAAGUAGAAUAAACCACAUUUUACAGUACUCUGUGGUUCAGUCAUACAUAUGUCACAGUCCUAUUUCAGUGGGUCCCAUGUGGUUACUCAUGAAACGUGAAAAUUGUAUUCUUCCCUCCACUUUGUAGAAAGAGAAUAAAGUUUGCAUUUGGGACUUCCGGGGUGGCGCCAUCGGCAAUGGUGGAUUCCCUCUGAACUGGAGGGACCAGCUCCACAGGAAUCGGGUCUUUUCCGCUAUGGCGAAGCGGGGACCCAUUCAAAAAUCACAGGCGGAUGAAGCCUGUGACCAUGGGACUCGGCGGGCACCUUUAGCGCCCCCCCCAACCCGCAAAGGAACCCACUAACGGGCUCCGGAGCGAAGAGGGGGAGUGGCGCGGUGCUGAGAGUCAACUGCUUCUUCCGUGGAGCGAAGCCGCACAGCCGUUGCCGGAGAGCGCUGCCUUUUCCUGGGACAAUUUGGCUUUUAAAACAACCACCCGUGAGUACUUAAGUUUCGGACAAUUGGACUCUAAAUAAGGAUUUGCGAGCAGAAAGGAAAACUGGACUUAAAAGUUUAAUUUAAUUUGGCACUGAAACGGGAAGGUCUAAACAGGAAGUCAGCCUUCCGUUUCUUUGUAGAUAGAUUAAAGCAAAGACACAGCAAACUAAAGUUCUGAAAAUCGCUUCUAAAGGAUUAACUUUCAUCAUUUAAAAUUGUGGAACCCCUUCGGAAGCAGGAGAAGAGGGGGGAUUUUUUCUGGACUGUUUAAACCUGCAGAAGUGAGUGUAAAGUAAAGUAACUUUCCACCGUCUUGAUCCUGCAGCGGGGUGUCAGGACUGACGUUCUUUGAAGCUCAUUGACCAGACACAAACGUUUUUGACAGAUAGCUAAAGGAAGAGAUACAUAGUGAUUCCAUUGUUCCCCUUCACAUUUUAAAGGAACAAAUAUUGACAAAAUAUCUGAAAAUGGAAACUUUGUUGUUAGAUUUGUUUUUAAAAGAAAAGAACAAGCAUAAGUUUUUCCCCUAGAGGGAGCCUGUGAAACUGUAACCAAUUUUGAAUUGGGAAGCUCGCAGCUGUUACAGAUUACGAUCGUGGGAAUAGACUCCUGACCUUGCAGGACAAUGUAUUCAGAAGCUCUGUUGAGUGCUUUCUGUAAAACAAGUGCCCUACUGGAACAGCUACAUGAGAAGACGGAUUUUAUGACUGAUGCGAUUAGAAAUUUUGGACAGGCAGUGGGAUAUUAUAUAGAGCCCACCCAGGAAUUAGAUCAGGGUGCCCUGACAGAACAGAUGAGGAAGAGGAUGUUGCUGAAUCUUGGGCGCCAGGGAUGGAGGGAGCUGCGGCCCAGCAGGAACAUGAAUUCUUGGAUUUGACAAAUGAACUUGGAAAAAGCCAGAUUUGGAAAGAUAAAGUUUGGUUUGGUUUGGAAAUGGGGGGUUGGAUAGACCCCCCUAUGCAGGGAGGUUUGGACUUUUCGAGUCUGGCAAUGGGCCAUCAGAUGUUUGGGGUUGUGGGGCUCUCAAUUUUGGAGGGUCUUUGAAACAUGUUCUUAAAUACCACAUGGAGCUUAGUGGGGACUAUGGAAAAGGGGCUGAUUUGUCGAGAAGGGUCAAAAGCAUUGUCAAGCUGGAGUUCCCAAGAGUGAAAGAAGUAGGAGAUAAAGGAAAAUAUAGCUAUAAAUAUGAAGAAGAGCUGCGGAAGGGACAUGGAAGAGACUUAAGGGCCUCGGACAUAAGGUUACCAGGUUAAUGCGCUAGAUUGAUGGGAUAGAAAGGACUGACAAAACCUGAGUCCAGGAGGAAGAGACGCUGGAUGAAGAUUGGAUUGUUAUUUCUUUUAGUAUGAUUGUUUUAUAAAAUUGAUGAAUGUUAGAAAAAUGUUGGAACGAAAUUAUUUGGCUUUAGCAAAAAUGUUUAAAGAAUUAUGUAAGAAUAUUAUGGUUAUGAGAAAUUGGUAAAAAUAAGAUUUAAGUUUUAAGUUUUAAGGUUUUCAUAGUAAGAUAAGAUUAAAAUAGAUUAAGGUAAAGCAAUGACAGAAUAUUAUGAAAUAUGGAAAGGAUUUGCUGUGACAAUUAAUAAUCAGGAUACAAAAAAAGGGAGGAGGAGGAGGUCAAAGAAAGAAGGUAAUGACUGUUAAAGAUAUGAGAAUAUUGGAUUUGUUUUUAAAUAUUUGUGGUAUAUUUUUGUUUUUUAAUUGUGUCGUGUUAUUUUUUGAUUUUGAUUUUUAUUAAUCUGUAUUGUUUGCCUGUGGUUUGUCUUUUCUUUGUCUUUUCUUUCUUUUUUUCUUUUUUGUUCUCUUUUGUAAUUUUAAAAUUUUCAAUAAAUAUCAUUAAAAAAAAAAGAGAGAAUAAAGUUUGCAUUUGUUUGCUUAGUCUUUGUUGGAUGAAAGCUUCCAAUCCGGGUGUUUGAUCUGGUCAUCAGCUGCCAAUAUGUGGAAGGCCUUGUCUGUGCAAAACUUCCUGUCAAAUUCUCAAGUAACAUAAGGUUCUGAAUGAAAAAGAAGAGGGAUUAGUGAAAAGCCUAAAAAUACUGUGUGUAACAUAAAGCCAGGCUGUCAACAGUAAAUGACCAACGCCUUCCCCUAAGCCACUUCAGACUUUGUUACUUCAUUCAGCAUUUUCUUCAAAAUUAUGCAGGGAACAUUUUCUUUAAAGUGGGGAGUGCAAAGAAAGGCCAGAAGCAGAAUGGGAUAUUUAAUAUGCAGUUGUACUAGUCUUUUCCAUGUGAUAAUACCAGCCAUUGUUCAGAUCAGGCUCCAGUGACAAAGUGCAUUACACUUUUGAGCCUCUUGUAGUUUUUAAUAUAAACUUUCUGGGAUAAGGAGUGCUUGAAAAGUUAAUAGCAAGGCAUGAGAGGAUCUUGGUAUUGAGCAAAAUGUCCUUUCUAAUGGAAGAGGAAGGCCUACAUUUCAUAAAAUCUCUUGUACCCAAAACAAGUUGUUCAGCAACAAUGUGAUGGAUGUUUCUUCCAUAUAGGCAGAGAGGCUUCAGAGUACAUGUUAGAAGUCUUCUAUUCUUCUUAUUUCUUUUGUCCCUGCAUUUCACUUCAAUGCUCACUUAAAAAUGUGGAAAUUUCUAUUUUCUUAUAAAUAUGUUAUCUUUCUGUGGUAUGGUUAUAAUUAAAAUCUUAGAAGUAAAGUGCUUGGAAUUUAAAAAGAUACAUUUCUGCUGCUGUUUCUUUCACAUUUACUGGAGUUGACGGGAGGGUGUUCCACAUGGUGCAUGCGACUACAGAGAAGGCCCUCUUCUUGGCUCCUUGUAACUUCAUUUUUCACAUUGAGGGAACUGCCAGAGGGCCCUUGGAAGUGGACCUCAGUGUCUGGGCUGAACAAUGGGGAUGGAGACACUCCUUCAGGUAUACAGGGCGGAGGCCGUAAAGGGCUGUAAAAGUCAGCACCAACAUUUUAAAUUGUGCUUGGAAAUGUAUUGGGAGCCAGUGAAGAUCCUUUAGGACUGGUGUUAUAUGGUCCCAGUGGCCACUCCCAGUCACCAGUCUAGCUGCAGCAUUCUGGAUUAGUUGUAGUUUCUGAGUCAUCUUCAAAGGUAGCCCCACGUAGAGUGCAUUGCAAUCGUCGAAGCGGGAGAUAACCAGGGCAUGUACUACUCUGGCGAAACAGUGUGCAGGCAGAUCGGGUCCCAGCCAGAAUCCCAGAUGGAGCUGGUAGAUAGCUGUCCUGGACACAAAGUUAACCUGCACCUCCAUGGACAGCUGUGAGUUCAAAUUGAUCCAAAAGUUGCAUGCCUGAUCUCUUAAUGACACAGUUACCCCAUUCAAGACCAGGGAGCCCACCCCGACCUGCCUACCCUGCCCCUACAAACAGUACUUCUGUCUCGUCAGGAUUCAACCUGAACCCGUUGAUUAUAUAAAGCAAAUUUGCCACAAGUUGUAUCAGAAAUAGCUGAUAUAUGUAUUAAGCACCACUGGAAUUCUUUGUUAUGUAUUGAGAGGUAAACAAAGAACCAAAGAAAAGAGAAUGAUUAAAUAUGAUCCGAGAGCAAUUAAAGAUAGUAAAAUGAACAGCCUUGAAAAAAUGGGCAGUGGAAUGGCAAAAGCUGAUGUAAAGUUGUAAGCUAAGUAUUGAAUACUAAAUUGUUUUUAUAUCUGAACUGGAUUUGGAAUUUAUUAGAUGGAAAAUUUUGAAAAUUAUUGUUUGGUUCCAUGUUGAUAUGCCCUUGGUGUUUGUAUAUUUUUUUAUACUAAUAUUUUAGUAACUUCACAAUUAAAUGCUAUUCAAAUUAUGAUCUUAAUAAACAAUGUAUUUUAAAAGAAAGUAAUUCUCAUAAACUGCAGUCAAUAUCUGCUUUCCUGUUUAGGUUUCCAAAUCAGGCACCUCCUGUCUCAGAGAGCCAACUGUUAACAUUAUUUAGAUGUCUCAAAGUGUUUAACGAGGGAUUGGAUGGCCCAGUACAUCAGUGGAUAGAAUCACUUUAUACGCACUGCUUUCCCCCUUUUGUCUGAGUGUGAGAAAACUUUCAGAAUAAUUCUUUACCCCAAGGGUAUUUCUAGAUUGCUGGUACUGCCAAUACUUUCCUCAAUCUUUUGUUGAACAGUAAAGCGGCUCUGUUCUUUUUAUUGAGAAGUGUGCUAGAAUUUCACCUGCCACUUAAAUGCAGAUAAAUGCUUUUGUUUAGAAAAGUUUGUUUGAAAAAGUGGUUGAAAGUGAAAUGAAUUAUCUCUGAGGUGUUUGGUGUGUACACACCCACACCCACACACACAGAGGCAACUUGAUAUUGUGGGAAAGCUUCAAGCACCUUCCGAGAUGGCAAAUAAAAAGAGAGAUACUGAGGUUCAAUUAAUCUUGCUCACACUCAGGUAUAUGAUUUGUGUAGUGUGUCUUAAUGUACUCUGCUGUGAAAUGGCUGAUAACCCUCACCAGCUGAAGGUGGGCUUUUUUCUUGUUCUUGGCAGUGUGAUUCUCACCCGUAGAAAUCUGUGAACAAUCUGGAGUGUUCUUAAAUGCUGUCACAUGGAAGAGGGAGCAUGCUUGUUUUCUCCCGCUCAGGAGGGUAGAACUUGAACCAAUGGCUUCAAGUUACAAGAGAUCAGCUGUUUGAAAAGGCAUGACUUGGUUGUCUUUUUAAUUCGUUUUUUAAAAAAAUGAAUUCAUAUAACAUUUUCAGGCCACAAGGCCUGCUUAAUUUUUUUUAAAAGAAGGGACAGGAUCUUGAAAUUUAGUCUUCCUUGGACCUAGUUCUCACUGAUGUUGUAGACUUGUGUCUAUGCUGCAUCACCUAAAAAUUACAGAUGGGACUUAAUAAUAGAAUUGUAGAGUUGGAAGGGACCACAAGGGUCAUUUGGCCCAACCCCCUGCAAUGCAGGAAUCUUUUUGCCCAGCGUGGGGCUCAAACCCAUAACCCUGAGAUUAAGAGUCUCAUGCUUUACCGGCUGAACUAUUAUAUUAAACUUUGGGACAUUCCAUCAUGCAACAGGAGCAGGUAGCAACAGGAGGAGUUUGGAAUGUUUCACUUCUAUUUUUGCUUAAUCACAGUUUUAUCAUGCUGUCCAAAUCAACAAACUGCAGUUCAUGUUGAUUAUGGUUUGGUUUGUGAUAAGCCAGUUCAAAAGCCAGGUUUAGCAUGUUGUCCACUACAUACCCUGUAUAUAGAAAACUUGAUGUCAUAGAAGGAAGGGUUUAAGAUCCAGGAGGAAAGUAGAAGAUCAUUUCAUCAUGUGAACCAAGUGGGACAGCCCAGAUACUGGUUUACCAACUCAUUGAGAAAUAGAUCUUAAUCGCAGUACAGUUCUCUAAACUUUGACUCUUCCAUUUCUACAAACUUCUUCUUCUUCUUCUUCUUCUUAUUAUUAUUAUUAUUAUUAUUAAGUUGUUGGCUCCCACCAAGUCACAGUGACUUCCACUGCCACAACAGGACUUCCUCUCCCCUCAAACCUGCUCUCUCAGAAUAGGGAGGGCUGCAGGGGGUAGCAUAGUGAGAGAGAAGGGAAGUCCCAUUGCACAGGUAGUAGUAGUAAUUCUACUACUACUACUACUACUAUAUUUGUAGCCCGUCCAUCUGACUGGGUUGCCCCGAGAUAAAAGGCCUUGUGCUAAUUUAUUUAUUUUUAAAUAUUUUAUUAAGGAUUUUCUUGUUUUACAGAAGUAAGUGUAAUGCCUCGUAUUUUUUUUCCCUGUGUAACAUUUUUACAAAUCCGUUUCAUUUGUUGAGGCAUUAGGGGGAGAAGAAAAAAAGGAAAAAAGAAAGGGAGGUGGAGAGAGGGAAGAUGGAUGGGGGUGGGGUCAGGUGGCGGUGUUUCUAUUAUGUUUAAUGUAUGUAGAGUUUGGUGUCAGCGUUGCUUGUGUUGUUCACUUGUGUUCCUUUGGUGGUGAGAGAGGUUGGGGUUGGCCUAGGGUGUGAUUGUUUGCUUGUGAUUGGCUGUGGUGAUCUUUGUUUUCGUGUGUGAGUGAGGUGGGUGGGUGUUUUGGAUCAGGUUAGCCAUAUUGAUUUGUAUGCUGUUGGUGGAUUAUUGUCAUUGUCCUGUUGGGCUGUGUAUGUGAUAAAGGGAGCCAUACCGGGGUGAAGGCGUCUUCUUCUGUUUGUCCCCGUGUCAGUUUCAGUUUAUUAGUUAAUUUUUCUAGUAGGGCUGUUUCCCAUACUAUUUGGUACCAUUGGUCCAUGUUUACUCCUGACAGGUCUCUCCAGUGUCUGGUUAUGGUGUUUCUGGCUGCUGAAAGUAGGUGGGUUAUGAGUUCUUUGUGGUGUAAAUGGGCAUUGUUGUCUUGGAAGAUGUUUAGUAGGGCCAAUUCUGGGGUGAUGUCUAUUACUUGCUUAGUUAUUUUACAUACUUCUUGUAUGGCUGUUGUCCAGAAUAGUUGGAUUUUGGGACACUCCCACCACAUGUGGAGGUAUGUGCCUGUGGAGGUGCACCCUCUCCAGCAUUUUGGUGAGGUUCCUGGGUGUAUUAGCGCUAGUUUCCUUGGUGUUAGGUACCACCUGUAGGUGAGUUUCAGUGUGAGUUCUUUUCUUUUCGUUGAUAUGGAUUUAAAGGGGGUUUAGACCACAUUCUGGUCCAUUGCGUGGGGUUAAUCUCAUAGCCUAUGUCAUUCUCCCGGUGUUUUUUGCUGGCAUCUAGGGAUUUGCGGGAUUUUGGAGUAGUAUUUUGUAUAUUGCGGAUACCGUCCCUUUACCGUUUCCCUUUGUUGUUAGGAGGAGGUUUUCGAAGGUUGUCAGGGGCCUAGUUGCUGCUGAUUUUACUGUUGGGUUCUUUAAGAGGGCAUGUAGUUGGUGUUGUGUUAACCAGGGCAUUUGGGUGUCUUCUAGUUUGUCUUGUAUUUCUUGUGUUGACAGUUAUUUUUAUAAAAGUCUAUUAGGCGAUAUAAGCCUUUGGUUUGCCAGGUUUUUAUCUGGAGGUUUUGUGCUGCAUGGUGGAAUAAUGGGUGGUACGCCAGGGGGAUUAGUGGGGAUGGGGUUGGGGAUAGUUUGCCCAUUUGUGUUUUCCAUGCUUUGAGCAUGGUCUGUGUGUACCUGUUAAGUGUUGUGGGAAUUUUCUUUAGUUUGUUUGGGAGGAGUGGGUAUGUUGUGGUGCAGGUAUUUUCAAUUGUGUCCCUCUCUAGGUGUACCCAUUGUUUUGUCUCAUCUUCUAGUAUAUAUGGGAUUAUAUGGCGUAUUUGGUUGGCAGGCCUUGUGCUAAUUAAUGGAUGACUUUGUUAGGUAUAACCAUUCAUUUAUUUUUAUUUAUUUGUUUUAUGGGUCAACUUUUUAUGAAUUUCAAGGCGACUUACAGCUAUGCAAUAAAUCAUGAAAAGUAGAUUUUAAAACAAUGCAACUUCUCCCACAGAUAAGUUUAAAAACAAUGCAAAUAAACAACCAGGGCAGAGACCUAAAUCCGCCCCCCUCAAGCUUUGAAAAGCUUGUUGACAUAAGGAUGUUUUUAGUUAUUUCUGGAAACGACAAAUAGUGGUAUCUGUCAGAUUUCAACAGGGAUGCUGUUCCACGAUACAGGGUCAGCUACACUGAAAAGGCUUGUUCCAAGUUGCUAUGAAGGGGACUUCUGAUAUUUUUUGGUUGCUUAUUUUUAAAAAUGGCAUGUAAUAAUAACAAUAAUAAUUUAUACCCCGCCCAUCUGGCUGGGUUUCCAUCUGGCUGUGUUGUACAUAUGUUAUGUGUCAGGGAACUGCCAUCGGAGCUGGAGGCGGAGGGAAGGCUCCAGAGGGAUGGCGGAGAGGGUUCCAGUAGGGAGAGAGGCAGCCCGUCCGCUGGGGAAGGAAAUCAGCGUAACACCAGUAGAGAAGGGGGGCAGAUGGGGGAAUCGGAGAGGAGGCUCCAAGACUCCUCGCCGGAGACCAGCGGAGAGAGUACGGGUACUCCGCUGCCCACACCCUCCCUGCGCAGAAGACUUCCGCGCAGGGAGAGUAGGAGGAGACUUGGCGUCAAGGAACUUUUGUGCUGGAAGAAGUUUAAGAAACACCCACUGACGGAUUCUGCCAGCGACUGAGACAGUCACGAUGCUGGAGGCUGUUCAGUCAGAAAGGGUUUAACCAGGUAACCUAGCCAGGAGUGGCGGCAACUUACGCACGAGCAACCCCUAAACCCAUUACAUUAUGCAUAUGUUAUGCAUCUGUACUACACAACUACAGAAGGCCUGUUUAUAUUUCAUUUUAGCAUCAGCUACUUCCUCCUAUUUUAAUAGGGUACUUUGCUGACUUUCUUUUGGUCAGAAAGGAUAAAUAUAGCAUAGUAAUUUAUUUUGUUUUUCAUAAUAAGAGCAGAAUUAGUUAAAGCUGCUGUGAUUGUUUCACCAAUACAUAGGCUUAUUUAUAAUUUCUAGUUGGUAUUUUAAACUUCUUACGAUCAAAUCAGUAAACUUAAUUUGAAUUUAUUAUAUUUUCUCAGAAAUGUAUACUACUGAAAAAAUAUAGGUUCAUUAUGCUCUUAGUAGUAUCUUCAUAGAUUUAUUUUCUACCGUCCUGCCAAAGUAGCAUAGUGCAGCAAACAACAAAUAAUAAAACAAUACAAUUGAAAAUAAAAUAGAAACACAUUUAAAAACAUCUUCACAACAUUAUAAAACAGUAACAUACCUUCAUAGCUAAUACUUUCAGCACUGCCAGAAACAGUAUGUUUUAAGUCACUAAAUGACUCACUGAACAGGAAGGUUUUCCAUUCCUCCUGAAUAUUAACAGGGGAGACAGACACACUUCACCAGGGAAGACAUUCUACAAAUGGGGAUUGGCUACUGAGAAGGCCCUGACCAAGCAACACCUGGUGGCACUGCUACCUACAGGGCCUCUCCUGUCAGUCAUAGGACCCAAGAUGGUUGGUAUAAGGAAGGAGGCCUUUAGAUACUUUCAUUUCGUUUAAAUGAGGUUAUAAGCCUGAAAAUGUCCGACUGAAGUGCAGCACAUUUUUAAAAGUGUGGUUUGUUUGAAUGCCCAGACCCAGCCAAGCCCAUGGUUUGCUUCCUGGCAACAAAUUACAAUGUGAGGGCAAGGCUUGUUUUAUUUAGAUUUGGUGUUUGGUUGAAAUGGAACAGCCUGGCAUAGCUUUGGUUAGUUCGGCCAUCCAUCCUUCCCAAGCUACAGAGCCAGUAGCAACUGGAGAACAAAUCAAGGUUUGGAGAAACAAACCAUGGCAUGUUUGCUCAUCUGUGAGACAACCUGUGGUUUGUUAAACAAGCCAUGGCUUAGUCAAGUGUGAAUGCAGCUGAUAUUAAUUUGCAGCCAUACUCAGGAAAACAAAUGCUUUCCAUCACAGAAAAACAUAGGUAUGCAGAAAAUUUUACACCCAAACAUCUGCCUAAACACACAGCAUUUUCCUUGGAAGGUGGUAGCUCUGAUGGUCCUCCUUACAAAGUUGUAGCAACACAACUAAGAGAACACAUCUUGAUUUGCAGUACUGAAUUGUUUCAUGCAGAUGAUUCCCGGGGUGAGAGAUGUUACCAAGCAGGGGACUUCGAUGAACUGAGACUGUGAAGAAGUCUACCUGCCUCCUUAAUGCCCCCUUUUGUUGCCCCUUAUGUGGAAUGAUCUCUUUGUUAGAUGGAGCAAGCUGAAUCACCACUGCCUGGGACCUCAACAAGCUAUGCUUGAGAGAAACAAGGCAAAGAGCAAAAACUCUGAUCAUGGCCUAUAGGUGGUGCUAUAAUAAAUAGAAUAUGCCGUAAUCCUAUCACACUGUCCACUUAUUUUGGGACACCUUUAUGUUUGACUCAAACCAAGUAUUCUUUAUUACUAACUCUGCCCAUUAUUAAUUGCAUCCAUGUAAAAUUUAAAUUAAUUUACUAUGGUGAUCAUAAAACCCCCCGUUUUUGCACUGACUGCUAUACUUACCCUGAUGUACCAUUACUACUACUACUAAUAAAUUAUUUAUACCCUGCCCAUCUGGCUGGGUUUCCCCAGCCACUCUGGGCGGCUUCCAACAAAGUAAAUAAAAAAUACAAUACAACACAAUCAACCAUUAUUUACCCACUUACAUUCUAGAGUGUGCUGCAUAAUUGUGGCCCGUAGCCAAGUUCUGUAAUACAGCCACAUAUUCCUCAGUGUUAAGCACACACACUUGAAGGACUUCACAGUGGGAACUUAUGAACCUGUGACACCUAUUUAAUGAGUUGAAAAGACAGAUUUGGUAUCAGACUAAGACCCACAGAAGAUCUGCUGCACUAUAGGUUUAUUGGAGAAGAUGAUGAUAGAAAACCCCUUGUGGUGGCCAACAGUUCCCAGAUGAAAUUGCUCAGACACAUCCUAAAUAACAUACAGUUUAAAUAACAUACAGAAUAAUGGUUUAUUCAAACAGUAUGUCUACAGGGAUCAAUCAUUUUUUUCAAAAAGGGAAUAUAUGAAAAGUAGUAGGGGGGCUAUUUUAGUUGCACAUAACAAAAAAAUAAUAAUACAAGGCCCAGAUACAGUAAGUUGAAAAAAUGAAAAUCCUUAUUGUUAUUAUUGACAUUUUGUGCAGCAUCAAGAAGAUCAGAAGUAUUUUUUUUAACUUCAAAACAUAGUUUUGUCCUGUUUGAAAGAAAUACUGUGAAUACAAGUUACAUUUAGGGUAUGCAUUGCAUCCAUACUUCAUAUAUGCAUGAUCCCGAUUUUUUUUUUGGGGGGGGUUAAGUUAAUUAAAAUAGACUUUAAUGUGGUACACAUGAUAGCUUUUUUCCCCUUCUCAUUUUAAUGUUUCCUCAUCUUUAAUACCUAUUACUAUAAAUUUCAACUGCCAUAUUAUUGUUUGGUGCAAGGUGAUCUUAGAACUAAUAAUGCUUAAAAAUGUGUAUUUAUUAAUUAACUGGGAGUGUUCAGGAACAAUGUCUGAUUCUGGCUUCAUUUAUUAACUGACAUAAUUUUGCCCAGCCCUUCAGUUGAAGAGACCCACCAAGGCACCUAACAGUAAUUCUUAAAACACACGUAAGACCUGUUUGACAGUGGAACAGACUCCCAUGGAAGGUUGUGGACUUUCCUUCCUUGGAGACUUAUAAGCAGAGGUCAGAUGGCCAUCUGUCAUGGAUGCUUUAGCUGAGAUUCCUUCAUUGCAAGGGGUUGGACCAGAUGACUCUCAGGGUGCCUUCCAACUUUUACAGUUCUAUAAUUCUGUGAUAAAUAACAUACCAUUAAACACAGUAAAAACCUCACAAACCAUAAAACGAAGAAGUACUUUUAGUUGAAUUCCCCAUAUCUGAAGAUUAUGCCUCCAUGUAAAUAAUUUUUAAAAUGUAGGGUUUUGAAGUUUUUUAUGCUGCAGCUCAUUGUGUGCAAAUAUGUGUUUGUGAGUCUCUUGUUAAAAUCAUGAUGAAUUACAACAUUUCCCCCAUUAUAACAGUUUGAAAAACUGGUGGCUAUCGCCAUGAUUUUCUGUAGUACAAUAUACAUUAUCCUUAGGAUUUACAGUAAUCUCAUAUUAGUUUUAUUCUGUGAUUAAACUGCAACCAUUAUACCUGGCAUUAAUGCUACUCAGUGAUGAAUUCUGCUUCUACAGCAGUUGCUUAUUCUAAAAAGAAAUGCAAAUCAGUGUUAGUGAUAGAAGAUAAACUUCAUGAAACUCAAUUAAUUUAGACAAUGAAACAUGCGUUUGGAUAUAAAUAAUAAAAUACAUUUGAGGAUAUGGGAAGAGAAUGUAGGAGUGCCUCCUAACCAAGCAAUCACAUGGGCAUUGUUUGUAAGGGUUUUUAUUUAAAGCUGGGUUUGUAUAGUUCUGAGCACACAGAUGUUCCUCUUGGCGUUCUUACAGUAUUAGCUAGUAUAGAGAUUGUAGUAGCAUAGAAUGUGAGUCUCUUUGCUGAAGACAAAGUGCUGCCUGUGGUGGGAACUGCUGCAGAGAUGGGAAUGUAGCGUAAUGUAUUGUUUUAGUUUUCUGACUUUCCCCCCACUCCAGUGGAGACUGUACAUUUAAAGUAGUUUUGUGAGCAGUGGAUUGUUUCAUCCAAGCCUGGCUAAUAACAUACUCCUCCAGCAGACAGUCUUACGAGGUAUGCUUCACAUAGUUAGCAUAGUCAUGUGGCUUGCUUCAAUUCUAGGUAUCAAUGCCGUUUCUGUGCGUUUCAAGAUUUAACAACAUGAAUUACAGGAGUUUUGACCCUAGAGGUGGAAUAGAAUCUCUUCUUGAAAAAUAAUAAAAAAGAGCCACACAAUAAACAUCUAUUCUUUGUAACUGUAUAGGCUACCACUUCCCAGAGGCUUGGAGUAAGUAUCCACAAAAUUAGAAAAGGACAAAAGAUCUUGGGGGUACACCCAGUAGUGCUUGAGUCAACAGCAGUUUACAUAACAAAUCUUUCUCUGUUCCUCUGAAGUUACCUGUACCCUCUCCAGAAAGUUGGAUAGAGGACCUACCAGACAACUGUGGGUUUUGUUUUGCAGGGCUGUAGUGGAAGGAGAAACUAGGAGCUUUGUUUGUGUGGUGCAAGAUUCCUCCCACCUCGCAUGAGGCCCUGCAAAAUGCAGCUCACAAUGUUCACUAGGUCUUCAGGCCCUUGGGAAAGCUUUUCAGGGGGGUGGGGGUGAGAAGGGCAAGAUUGCUUGCAUGAGCUGCCUUCUGCACAUGCAACAUUGGAUGUAACCACGAAUCCCAAUUUUAAAUCCAAUGUAAGAAAGCUUAAAACCUCAAACUUUGAAACUGCUAACCUGCUGGAUUCACCAUUGUCGCUGAAAAAGUUGAAAUAGAAAGGACUUAACAGUGUUUAGGAGUGUGUGUGGCAGAAAUGCAUCUUGCUUAAUACAGUACAGGAAUGUGCAGUCUUAUGUAUUUGGACCAUAACAAUUUUUGGGUUGUGUGGGUCAAAAAUAGCUCUUGAUUUGAACCUAGAAGACAAGAUAAAUAGGGAACCAAUGUAAAUGUUGACAGACUAUUGUUGUAUGCUCCUGGUAGCCCAGCUUCCUGUAUCAGGAAAGUAGUCUGUUGUAACCUGAGCCUCUGGGAGCACCAACAUAGCUCUGAACUUACAUGACCAAAGGAAGCUGAGCCAUAUCAUUGGUGGGAGUCCCUAUCAUCACUAUGCUCCCUUGUGUGAGACCUGAUUCUGUUGAAAUUCAGGUGUGAGAGAUGCUGAGGAACAAACCCAUUCAUUUGCUGAAAUUUCAGCUUAACAGCAGCCUUGAACUACACUGCAGAAUACAGACUCCUCUUGUCAGUUCUGUACCUCAGAUAGCAUGUCAUUCUUUUUCUUUUCAAGGUGCAAACCACUGCAGUAAUCAUUACGCUCCCUCAGAAUGGGACUUUUAAGAACAGACAAUCCACGGACUUGGCUAAUGAAAUACAGUAGCUAGUUACAUUAAAAAAAAGAAAACUGCAUGAAAUUUGAAAACAUUUGUAAAACGGCAGCUUGAUGUCUUGUUGCCUUACAUUCUCAUUGUGAAGUUGUGCUUUAUUUAUUAUUCUCAAGGUACUUACAAUAAGAUAUACAAUAAAACAACUAAAAAUAGGUUUAAAAACAGUUUGAAUGAACACACAAAGCAACUUGCAUUACUUUUCAUCCAACUGAAAUAUUAUUACAUUCAGAGUGGUAACAAAUAAAAUGUUUCCCACAUUAUUAUUGUUAAAUAGUAAUGAGAGGCAAAACAUACCCUUGGAUUCAGUGAAAUAUUUUCAGGUUUCACAGAUCUUACACUGGGAAAGGUUUGCAUAUUGUUACAUAUCUGCUUGCACACACUGGCUGCUAUGGGGAGAAUUAUGGUUCAGCCCAUUAUUUUUUAGCAUUUUGCAACUUCAUCCUCUAGAACCAGAAGAUAAUAUGGGGUACAGAAAGAUGUCUUGAUGUAAGCUGGCUAUUGUGACAUUUAAGGGCUCUUGGCAUGCAUGCUUGCUUGCUUGCUUGCUUCUGUCUUUUUGCUAUUCAAGCCCUGAUGCUUGACAAGAGGCACCCGAAAAGUAUGUAAACCUUAUGGUACUGGAAACAUAUGGCUGGGAGAGCAAGGAAGAGUUAUUUUGAUGUUAUGCAUAGAUGUGCAGGUACUUCAGACAGUCUGAAGGAAAGAGACGGUUAUCUCCUGUCACUGUCCUUUUGAGAUGGCGUUUCAUCUCAAAUUAGGUGAUAAAUUCUAUAAUACUGCCUUGAAAGGUGACUGGCAUUAACUAUUUUUUAUGACAUAAUCACAUGCGAUACAAGUUUUGCGAUGACAGGAGUUACUUUUCCUGAGUUUCAGUUGUCAAAUUCUUCUGCGUUUUGCCACAAUGAAAAGGUUACAGAUUUCAUCUUUGAUUUGAAAGGAAAUGUAUAUAAGUCCCACAGGGAGGCAGAUAUGCCUUAAAAAAGAAGAGAAAGGUGAUUCCCCACCCCCAUCCCCUGGAAAAAAAUCUCUCUAGAUGCAACAUUCUACAGCACACAAGUUUUUCAAUGGGCAGCAGCAACAGUAUACAGAUUAUUGUUGAAAAACUUUUUAUUAAAAGAGAGUUUGCAGCCUAGAAUGCUUUAUUUAUGUAUUUUUAAAAUAAAUUUAUUUUUAUUGAUAUUAGUCAUACUCUCAGAACAAUUGAAAUCAAUUGUCUUAGGAACAUUGAUUUUAGUGGAUCUACUCUUGAGUAUGAUUUUGUUUGCUAUCACCCUAUGCCAGGGAAGGAAAACCUCUGGUCCGUGGGCAAAAUGUUCAACCAGCCACCCCACUACCUGUCAUCAUAAGACAUCACGUGUGAAACAGGUUAAAGUUGCAGCAGCAGGUGUGCAUUCCUGAUUGUUUCUUCACAUCAGGGCUUACAUUCAGUGCUAUUUAAAUCUGGUGCUGAGUCUAAGCACUGCUAAGAUUGGUUCCUCUCAGGAGCUCCUGGCUGAAGUCAAUCCCUACUGAAAGCUUUUUAAAUAUAGCACCCAAUGCAGGCUCCUCUGCUUUCUGGUGGGCACAGAUUCACCUGAUGCCAAAUGGUAUCAAGUUAGUGUGGAUCUGCCAACGUGUCAAAAGUGGCCUGCUGCAGAAGCCAUGCAGAUUUUUCUUUCAUACGGCUUGUUCUUUUAUACAGUUAAUUCUUUUAGUUUUAAUGUUUUCAACAGUGUGCUUGUUUUAUAGCACUUAGAUUAGCAAAUCUGUAAUUUUCUGAAUCCCACAUGGGCCUUUCUUUUUUAAAUGGUAUUAUUUUGUCCACCUUCCAGUACUUUGGGAAGGAGAUUGGCUUUGUGUACAUUUGAAUGAAAAUGACGUGUAUAAUGCAAACUCACCCCCUUUCUACCAUACAAAAAGCUGUUCCUAGAAAAUAAACAAUUCUGCAAUAAUAAUUAUUUAUUCUCAGCUGUCCUAAAAAUCAGAAUAUCUCAUCACAGGAAAUCCGACUGAAGUGUGUUCUGUUGCAUGCCUGGCUGUUUAUCUGGAUUGGGGAGAGAAACCAAAACAUCCUGUGAUAACACUCAUCUUGACUUGUAUAUUGAAUUUUCCUGAACCAGUAUGGCACUCUCCAGAUAUUGGGAAAUCAUCACCGACCAUUAGCCAUGCGGGAUGGAGCUGCUCAACAGUAUAGCCCACAAUGUGUAGUGAGCAAUACAUAGGCUACCCCUACACUGGAGACUCCAUUGUGGCCUGUUUAUGACAGUUGUUUUAGGUUUUGAAUACUACGUUAUAAAUUCAACUGUACUGUAUAACUGUAUUGGAAGCCCUGAUGAUCAGCAAAACAAAGCAAAAAUUUUAUAGUGGCUUGGCUUGCAACAGUAACUAACAACUAGUUCUUCCAACUAGUUGUAGUAAGAGUUCUCUCACUAAUUAGGUCCAUUCCUAAUUUCAAGGCUAUGACAGGUGUUAGUGGGAUGAGGUGUCUGUAAUAGCCAGGAAGCUCCAGUUAUAAAGAAGUACCAGUAAGUUUUUUUUCUAGCAUGAGUCCAUACCCAAACAGAUGAUGGGUCUCUUCGCUUCAGUGUGCUUUGCAUUCAUCAUGUCAAAGCCUUAGCACAGAGAAUUCCUUCUAAGAAAGCAAAGCAAUUUCUAGAGAGAAUUGGCACAUGCUAAGGAAUGCCUAUAGGGGGAAAUGUAAAAAAGUAAAAAUAAAAAUCUCCAAGUGAAAAGCUUUCAAAUCACCCCCUCAUGCAGAAUUGCAAAAUCAGAUUUAAUUGCUCUCUUUCUAUCCUGUUCAGACAAGCAGGCUCCUUUGGGUGCAUAGUAAAUGAGAGUCUUCAAGGCAAAAACUAAUAUUUGUUUGGCUCCGGCUAUCGCAAAAAAAUUAAGCGAGGGAAAGUGCAACUGGCAGUCAGAACUGAACUUUUCACAUGCUAUACUUUAUUUGCCAUUUCAAUCUUUUAAUGAUGAGAUUUCUCCUUUCUUGUAAACAUAGAGGAACUUGGUGGUGGCAGAACCUAGGAUAACAAUAGAAUGUUUCCAGAUAUAGCUUGCAUUGACUGAUCAAAAUAUCAGGGGUCAGCAAACUUUUUCAGCAGGGGGCCAGUCCACUGUCCCUCAGACCUUGUGGGGGGCUGGACUAUAUUUGGUGGGGGGAGAACAAAUUCUUAUACCCCACAAAUAACCCAGAGAUGCAUUUUAAAUAAAAGUACACAUUCUACUCCUGUAAAAACACACUGAUUCCCUGACCAUUUGUGGGCCAGAUUUAUAAGGCGAUUGGGCCGGAUCUGGCCCUGGGCCUCAGUUUGCCUACCCAUGCAAUAUAGCCUUCAGUUAUAUGGCUCCUUGUUACUGUUACCAGUUCUACAAGGUGACCAGGAAGGAGACAGUGAUGUACUGCAGCAGUCAGGAGAGAGAUGCACACACACAAAAGCCAGACUAAGUUAAAUGGAAACUCUUGAAAUUGGAUAUUUUCUCCAUAGUUCCCCCCUCUCUCAAACCACCAUCAAAUCACAGAUCUCAUGUCUCCAUUGACUGAACCCUAAAAUUAUGGCGCUGGUACUUUCUAGUGCUGUCACAACACAAAAACAUGAAUCGAAAGCAUAGGACCCUCAUAAUUUUUACGAGGGGUCCUCUCAGAUUAUAGGCCACAGAUGUGUUCUGUGAUUUCAUGUUUGUUUUAUUGUCAAACUAUAUAAAAAACACGAGGCUCCAUGAGGAUCUGUACCUUGGGUGACAAGCACCACAACAAAAUAGCUUUUCAUUUGAAGCAGUUUAUUGAAGAUCACAAAGGAUAAGGUAAAGGUAAAGGGACCCUGACCAUUAGGGGUCGUGGCGCUCAUCUCGCUUUAUUGGCUGAGGGAGUCGGCGUACAGCUUCCGGGUCAUGUGGCCAGCAUGACUAAGCUGCUUUUGGUGAACCAGAGCAGCGCACGGAAACGCCGUUUACCUUCCCGCUGGAGCGGUACCUAUUUAUCUGCUUGUACUUUGCCGUGCUUUUGAACUGCUAGGUGGGCAGGAGCAGGGACCGAGCAAUGGGAGCUCACCCCGUCGCGGGGAUUCAAACCGCUGACCUUCUGAUCGGCAAGUCCUAGGCUCUGUGGUUUAACCCACAGUGCCACCCGCAUCCCUAUAUCUUACAGUAAAUGAAAGAAUUCAACACAGUUCAUUAUUGCCAAAUUUAAAAUGCCGUAUUUGAGAAGAUGUAAGUACAGAAAGUGCUGAACAUUUUUUCCUUUUUCUCACCAGGAAAUAUCAGAAGGGAUCCAAAGUCCGGCUGAGACUUACUGACCUUGAACUUUCGUCUAGAUUCUUGGGAGCCAAAACAGACACAACUUUACUGGAAGCUGAAGCAGUACUCUUGGGACUUGUGGAAAGCAAAGAAAAUAGACAAAAAUAGCAAAUGCUAUUUCCCCUCCCAAAAACCCUCAAUAUAGAUUCACUCCUGACUACAUUUUAGCAAAUCUAGGUAGUUAUUUGAUUUGUGCAGCACUUUUAGUUUUUUUGUGAUGGCUUGGCUAAGCAAUAAAGAUUUGAAUUGAAUUAAAAUGUUGAAACCAUUCUUCCACUUCUGUUGCCUAAUUGAUGCAAGUAAAUAUAAAUUAAAAAGAAACAAUCUUAGCAAAUUUGGUUCUGUAAUAUCUAUUUCCCUUCUGUUGUCUCCAUACUAUUAAUUGUUUAUAUUAAUUCUAUUUUGUAUUCACAUUUAAUCCAAGAAAGAGGUAUAUUUCACCGUAUCUGAUUAUAUGACAAAACAGCAACACAAAUUCAUGACAGAUGAAAUAUGAAGUUUUCUGAUUAAAGAGUGAACUGUUGAAUGUCUUAAACUCUGAAGCUUCCAGAGUGACAACCAACUGGCUACAUUCUGAAGGCCAAUGCACACUACCACCCCAACUACUACUUGACCUCAAACUUGCUGUUUGCAAAUAGCAGUGGGGGUGGAGGGAGGUCAGCAGGAAACUGGUGCAGAAGCACUUUCCAAAUCAGCUCAUCUUUCCUUCAGAAUAAAAGCUGCUAGUGUAAGCACAUUUUAUUCACAAUAUUUUAAAUGUAAUGUGUAUUUUGGCCUCCAAGAUAAGUCAGGAAUUCAGUAUAUGCCACUUUUAAAAGGAAUUAUUCAACACUUCCAGUCAUUUCAGUGACGUGUGCUAGGUAAGUUCAUAAUGCAUUUGUGUCUCGUAUGUUGAAUCCCAUUAUACCUAUCUUUCAUAGAAUUACAACAAGUCUUAACUAGAAGCGUAGCAGAGUACAGUGGAACCUCGGGUUACAUACGCUUCAGGUUACAGACUCCGCUAACCCAGAAAUAAUACCUUGGGUUCAGAACUUUUCUUCAGGAUGAGAACAGAAAUCGUGUGGCAGCGGCGCGGCAGCAACAGGAGGCCCCAUUAGCUAAAGUGGUGCUUCAGGUUAAGAACAGUUUCAGGUUAAGAACGGACCUCCGGAACAAAUUAAGUACAUAACCAGAGGUACCCUGUAUAUAAAUUAUUUCUUCCACCUGUAAGACCAGACUAUUGGAAAUGUCCUGUGUAGCUACUCUUGAUCUUCUCUUCAGUAUUUCUGGUAAGUAAAAGAGUAAACUGGAUUUAAGUCCAGCCCAGUUAUCAAGGGUAAUUCUGACUCUAAAAUAAGCUACAGCCAUAACAUAUUUCCCACAGCACGUUCUGGGUAAUAAGAUGCCUUUAAAAAUAACAUGCUUGGAAUGGAGACAUGUUUUAGCAUAUUCUGCAUACCAACCAAUAAUGAGAGGUUGUUUGUCAGAUCGGAAAUGCUCUAAGCCAAAGACAACUGAUCUCUCAUGGUGUUAUUUAUUAGGAGAGCUUCAACAUGAAUUCCAUACGUUACCCUCCGGUUAAAAAACAAAGAGAGAUGGGCAAUACAUUUUCAGGAACCAACAAGUGUCACCAGCAAAUAUUGGGGGAAGGGAGCAGCAACCAGAAAUACUUUUAUGUCCCUGCUUCUUUUAUAUUCCAUACACAAUAUGACAUCCGUACUUCUUUGGUAUGAGCUUUUGGUAUUGCUAGAAAUUAUCAUCCUUCUUGGCUUGUCUGUGAGCUGUUUAGUUAAACACCAAAUGCUGGGCCAGCUUCAGCCAGCAAGUACUGCUAGCAGAAGCCCACGCAAGGACUUCUGCUAGCACAACAGGGCUUUUCCUCCCCCUGUGCCCCCCUGAAAUUGGCUCAGAAUCCCCCCCCCCAGAGUAGUGCAUGGGGGAAGGAGGGGGGGUUCCAUCUGGCAAGUUGAAAUGCUUGUGCUGACAGAAUGAUUGCCACAGUGUUACACUGAAUUCCUCCCCCCAAUACUGUAAUUUUAGUUAGCUACAAUUGUACAUUAAAUUAAAAUUAAUUAUUUUGGAUGUAGGCGAGCUAACCUUGACUCAGAUGCAGAACUGCCCAAUUAAAGCAGGGUUCCAAUGUUUUAAUAAAAUUAAACGAAACCUUGCUUCACCUCAGCCUUGCACCCAGGUCUGGCAAAAUGUUGUAUGUUACAGUGUGAUUCUUUAGAAAUUCUGCAAGUCUAGAAUAUUAUUAACUGGUGAGCGGACCAUACUCUACAGCUGCACUGCUUCCCAGACUGUUUCCAGGCCCAAAUUAAACUGUUGGCAUUAAACUUUAAAACUCUAAGCACUUAGGACCAGGUUACCUGAAAGACCGCCUUCUCCAUACUGUAGGUACCUUGGCAAAUUUUAAUAUCUUCUUUAGAGUAGUACUGCCAGACCAAGUGAGGCAGAUAACCAUUAGGGAAAGGUGCUGUUUUGGUGAUAGUCCCCCCAUUAUGAAACAGCAUUGCCAGAGAGAUUUGCCUGGAACUAUUUUUUAUGGCCUUUCUGGUACCAAGUGAACAUCCAGGCCUUUAAAAUAACUUAUGUUUUACGACCAGGUCCUUAAAAUCUGUGUUUUGUAUGCGUUUUUCAUUUUAACAGUUGUCAUUUUAAUUGUUGUAUUGUUUUGUGAGCCACCUCAGAGAACUUACAGUAUCACUAGCAAGUCCACAAUUGCAUCUCAUUAUUUUACACACCCUUCCCACUUCAAGAACAUGGCUAUGUCUGUGGUUGCUCAUUUAUGACUGCUCAGCAUCAAAUCAGUGGGAAACAUAUUUCUCCAACAAUUAUACCCUGCUUAAUAAAGUUCUUUGGAUUGGGAAUAUGUAGAGACUCUUCUGACCUGUCAGUCACAAUCCAAUAUGCAUUCCCCCCCCCCCCCCCACUAUGAGAUAUUAUUGGUUAUGCAAAUUGAGUUAUGAAACUUACCGAUACGGCUCUGGGUUAAUCAGUGUAACCACAUGUUCAAACAGACUUUGCAAAGUACACCCAGAAUUCAGGUAGACUACUGUGUCCUGAAUGAAGUUGCAUAAGACAUAACGCCAGUGGCUAAAGCUGUGUUUAAAUGAAUUGGAGCAAAUUUUCAUAUGUUGUGGUUAGUGAGGUAGGUCGGUUGAGUACUAGGAGCUAGCAUAGCCGGACAAAAGUAUCCAUGGCUUCAGCAUCACCAACACACACACACACACACACACACACACACACACACACACAAACACCCUGCCACAUUGUUCUGUUUACCAUCUAGUCCAGGGGUCAGCAAACUUUUUCAGCAGGGGGCCGGUCCACUGUCCUUCAGACCUUGGGGGCCAGAAUAUAUUUUGAAGGGGGGGAAAUGAAUGAAUUCCUAUGCCCCACAAAUAACCCAGAGAUGCAUUUUAAAUAAAAGGACACAUUCUACUCAUGUAAAAACACGUUGAUUCCUGGACAGUCCAUGGGCCAGAUUUAGAAGACGAUUGGGCUGGAUCUGACCCCCAGGCCUUAGUUUGCCUACCCAUGAUCUAGCCCGAUGAGUUAUGUAAAACUUGAAAAAAGGCCAUGUAUUUUGUGAUAAGGAAUUACACAGUUAUAUAGUGCAUCGAAGUAAUAAUAUAUAUUUUUUUUUAUUUGUAUCCCACCCAUUUGACUGGGUUGUCCCAGACACUCGGGGUGGCUUCCAGCCUAUAUAAAAACAUAAUAAAACAUUGCACAAAUAAACUUUCAGUUGGUCUGCACUCUGCAGCCUUCCUGGGUGCCUGCACUUCUUGGAAAACCCACAAUGUUCUUGGCUGAGCUACUCUGUGAAUACAGAAGGCAGGGAUGCUAACUACCUUGUGCCUGUCUGCUGUGGUGGUUUUUAAGUGAGCUCUUCACCUUAAAUAAAUUAGGGCAGAAAGCUUAAAAAGAAAGAAAGAUGGAGGGAGUUCCCUUUAGAAACAAAAUGGGCAUGCACAGCAGUCUUAGGUGCUUGGUAUCCACCUACAACUUCCCACAUCAGUUAAAAUUCAGGGAAGGCUGCCAUGAGGUAACUAUCCAUAGGGCUUUCAGUGAACAGGAGGCACAGGCAGCUUGGGAGGCUGCAAAAAUAUUUAACUGG